rnacentral:lncRNA from 1 species
UCUGAUCCGAUCUCCUCUCUGUCUCCCGCCUCUCCUCUCUUUCUCCCUGUGGUCUCUCCUCUCCGCCUCUCCCUCGCCGUGUCCCGCCCCCCCCCCCCCCCCCGCCUCUCCUUCUUCCCUUGGUCUCUCCCCUCCGCCUCUCCCUUGCCGUGUCCUCUCUCCUCCGCCUCUCCCUCACCGUGUAUUUUCUCUCUCCGCCGCUCCCCGCCUCUCCCCGCCUCUCCUUCUCCCCGUGGUCGCUCCUCCCCGCCUCUCCCUUGCCGUGCCCUCUCUCCUCCGCCUCUCCCGCGCCGUGUACUCUCUCUCUCCGCCUCUCCUUCUCGCCGCUGCCUCGCCGGAUCUUCGCCUCAGCCUUGCCGGAUCUCUCUCCUCACCGUGUAUUUUCUCUCUCCGCCGCUCCCCGCCUCUCCCCGCCUCUCCUUCUCCCCGUGCUCGCGCAUCCCCGCCUCACCCUUGCCGGACCUCUCUCCUCAACCUUGCUCUAUCUCACUUCACUAUCAUUCUCGCAGGUCCGAAUCAUAGCUCAGUUGACGGAUUUCUCAUCAAGAUUCUCUACUGACCAUUAUCAAUUUUUUAGGUUAUAAUUAUAGGUUAGUAUGGAAUAGACAGAUGAUGCUGUGUGAGGGUUUUCAAACAGAGAGGGUAGGAUUCAAAGAGAACAGAGAGAAUAGACAGAUUAUGGUGUGUGAGUGUUAUUUAGAACAGAGAGUGGUCGGAUUGAAAGAGAACAGAGAGAAUAGACAGAUUAUGGUGUGUGAGUGUUAUCACUUUAGGUUAUUGUUUUUUGUGUGUUGAUUCUGUCCUUGUUAGAAUUUAAUUUUUUUGAUUAAUUACAGUUACUAAAAAUUUUAAAUUAUUGUAUUAAUCUUUAUAUUUAUUUCUUUGCAGAUGUCAGGAAAUGAUUAUACCCGAUAUCUGUCUGCUGGUAGUAGGAAGAGUUAUGGCAGUAAGAAGAGUUCAUCCCGUCAUAGCAAUCCGGAAAGUUCUUCUAAUUCUCAGAUGGCUGAGAGCUCGGCUGUACCUAACAGCCAGACACAACCUUCCCCUCCAGCUCCCGCUCAAGCUUCCCCUCCUGCUCCUGCUCCUGCUCAAGCUCCUCCAGCUCCCGCUCCCUCUCAAGCUCCUCCAGCUCCCGCUCCCUCUCAAACUCCUCCAGCUCCCGCUCCUGCUCAAGCUCCUCCACCUCCAGCUCCCAAUGCUGCCGCAAUGACGUUGGAAGAUUUAGCGGCAAUCAAUAUGAUUCUGGCUAGUCCUGGACAUCAUCUUCUUCCUCACCUGCAUCCAAAUCGCCCUCCAAAUACGGUUUGGUAAGUUUUUUUUAAUUAUAUUUCAUUGUAAUUAAUUAUAAUAUUUUCACUUUUAUAAUUUAAUUCUCUCAAUUGCCUUUAAUUUUCUGUGAUAGGUUUGAUGAAGAUGGGAGCGUUGCUGCAUCGGUUCGUCAAAUCUUUGAAAGAGAUUUCAAAGAACCGCAUGCUAGUUGGAAGCAAACCCCUGGGAAUGUCGUGAGACGUUGGUUUGAAUCCUUUGCGGUAAUUCAUUUAAUUUUUUCAAAGUUUAAAAUUCUGUAAAAUAAUCUUUUUAUGUUCACUACUAAUGUCUAUUAAUUUUUUUUUUUAUGUCAGCAAAUGUAUCAUUGGGAUUCUGGUUUCACUAGCCUGGUUCGCGAUUCUUUCGAGGCCAAAUUGAAAGUCCAAAUGAAUCGCCAAGUUUGUCGGUGGAAGAAAGUGUGGCGGGUAAAAGGUGAUGCAGCUAUGCCUGUUUGGUUUGACCCAAAUGUUUGGGCUGGUCUCGUCACUUAUUGGCUAGAUCCAGGCACUGAAGUCCGGAGUUGCAAUAGUCGGGCAGCCCGUUACUCUGACCCCGAUGGACAUGGGCCGUCUAAGCAUCGUUCAGGUCAGACUUCUUACAAGGCCCGUGCGCGAAUUAUUGUAAGUUCUCCCUUUUUUUUUCUUGGUUCAUUUAAGUUGCGAUGUGAAGUUGCCUAUUAUCUCUUAAGUUGUGAUCUCAAUUUUUAAUGAUUUGACUUAAUCUUUUUAAUUUUAGGCUGAAGAAACAGGAGAGUCUAUUCCUGAUUUGCUUGGGGUUCUCGAGAUCACUAAACGAAAGCCGGAUGGGUCUUUCGUUGACGGCAAAUCUGAGCAGCUCUACAAUGACGUGACAUCUAAAUUUCAGGAGUUAUCUCAGGCAGCUAGUGCUGAUCCCGAGAGCACCGGUUCUGUUGGUCUCACUCCAGCAGAAAAGAACAAGAUUUAUUGUGAGGUAAUUUUUUAUUGCUGUCAAUCUCAAUUUUUUUUAAGUCUUCUUUGAUAUUGAUCUCUGAUUUUAUUAUGUAGCUUGCUCCCCGCAAAAAGGGACGAAUUUAUGGAGUGGGUUCUCUAAAUCAAUCUGUAGGAUCCGUUUCUGCAUCUUUUCCUUCUUCUAGCAGUUCUGAGGACCAGUCUUUGAAGAAGAUCAUCAAGGAACAAGCUCUUGUGAUUCAGAGCCAGGGAAAUGAAAUCGGGAGGCUGAGUGCUGCUGUUCGUUAUGUAGCUACCAAAGAUUCUACCUUGGCGAACAUUCUUCAGUCCGAAGAUGUGCCUUCUUCCCACAACUCCGAGGGCAUGUCUCAUGACUCUAGAGAUGAUGAAUCUGAUGCUAUUUAGUUUGUUGCUAUCUUUGUUAUGAAUGUUAAAACUUUGUGUGUUUGUAUUUCUUUGUAUCGAAUCUUGAAUUUUUUCUAUUUCAGUAAUAUUUUCGAUAAUUUAAUAAUUUUUUUUAUAAUUUAAUCUAAAAAAAAAAUUGCUUUAGAUUUUGCUAGAAAAAACAAAUACUCAGCAAAACGCUUGCAAAAGUGCAACGGAAAAGAACACGCAAAUUUGCAAGGAAACAAAAUACCGUUGCAAAUUUGCAACGAAAAUAUUGCUUGCAAAUUUGCGAGGAAAGGAAUACCGUUGCAAAUUUGCAACGAAAAUAUUGCUUGCAAAUUUGCGAUGAAAACAAAAUGCUCGCAAAUUAGCGAGGAAAAGGUUCCGUUGCAAAUCUGCAAUGGAAAUAUUUCCUCGCAAAUUUGCGCGUGUUUUUCAAGCGACGUCGUUUCCGUUGCAAAGUGCGACGAUUAUUUUUUCGUUGCAAAUUUGCGACGAAAGUCAUUCCGUUGCAAAUUUGCGAGCGUUUUGCAAGCGAAUUCAAUUUGCGACUAAGGAUUUGCAAGGGAAUGUGUUUCCUCGCAAAUAGCUCGCAAAUGACGAUUUGCAACGGAAUUGCAAUGCAUUUUUCCCUUGCAAAUGAUGUGUUUUCUUGUAGUGUUUCUCUACAAGCAAGUUAUGAAGUUUGUUGACUACAUUUGAACGUGGAUUUUAUAAUACAAGGCCAUGCAAAACUAUCAUUUCUGAUUUUCCUUCGAAGUUCUCGUGUUCCCAUUCAACUUAUGUUUUGUUUUAAGUUAUGAUUUCCUAUUGCAAGUUUUUCCACAUUAUUUAUGAUUUAUAAUAAUAAAUACCUUCGUUCCAAAAGUAUUAUUGUAUGACGCUAACUUCUGAUACCAUCAAUAUGGAUAAUACUUUGAUAGUCAAUCUCAUAAUAAAAAAAAAAAAACAAAGUUCUCGCACCUUAUUAUAGUUAAAAAGACAAACGUUGUACAUAAAAACAUAUAGUCCAAAACAAAUAAAUGUAUGUCCGGAAUAGAGAAUUCGUGUGUUCGUAUAAUUUUUUUUUUUAAACUAAUUAAAGACGCGAGAAUAAAAUUUUAAAAUACAUGAAUUCUCAUUAAAACCAGGUAACAUCAGCUAUAGCACACGUGAAACAAUUUUAAAGUAUUUAAAAUAACUAAAUUCAACUAAUCUACAAUUAACUAAAUCAAAGUUUUUUAAAACCCAAAGCAUAAACAUGGACUAUGCAUCACACGUUAUAUAAUAUUAAAUUUACAAACCAUAAUACCAUAUAAAUAAACAGUCAAAUAUUAAAAAUCACAAGACUAAUAAAAACAUAUUACAAUUUACAAAUAAACAUAACACAAAUAUACGACAUUCCGCGCGUAACGCGGACCGACCCUAGUAUAAUUAUAUAACGGUCAGAAAAUACAUUAUGUGUUAUAAUUUUAGUUCAUUAUUAAAAUAUUAGUAACCAUUUCUGAGACUGGAUAUAUGUAUCACUUUGAUGGUUGAGAUGAUUUCAAUAGAAAUGGUUCUUCUUUAUUUUGGUAGUAUAGAUAUUUUAAUCUUCUAACCGUUAUAUAAUCUCUACUAUAUAAAAAGAACUAAAUUGAAGCAAUUCUAGGUGCGCCACAUAGGACAAAAUAUUCAUAACCAAUCAUUUGUUCAUAUCAUCAAGGAUGUUAAGUUGUUGGACCACGAAUCUGUGGUACGUAAUAGGCCCAUUAAUUUUAAUGACCAGUUUGUUUUAGUUUCCUUUUCCUCUAACCUAAGUUGUCACGGCAUCUACAGACCCUCCAAAACUCAUCGUCUUCCCAUCUCCUCUAUAUAACGCCUGCGACGGCAACAAUAAUGAAUCAAAGCUAUCCUCCAGACAAAUCGGCGUGUAACUCUCCACAUCCCUCAUCUUACUCAAUGAUAUCAAUGCCUCUUGAAGAUCCCUUAAUUAAUCACUUAAAUGAAACGCAUCCCAUCUCUCUCCUUUCCCUAUUGAGACUAUAUAUAUAUCCCAACCCAACAAUCUCUUCCUCAGCAAACGCAUCCCAGCACUAUGGCAAAUCAAACGGCAGUCGCCACCGUGCAAUACAAGCCAUUCUCCACUUUUGUUUCAGNNNNNNNNNNNNNNNNNNNNNNNNNNNGGACUAGGAGAUUCCAAGUUGAUGUUUAGGCUAAUCCAUUUCUUGGAAGCUUGCAAUAAUUCCAAAGGAGGCAUCCUUAUCGGAACCAAGUACGUGACAGUCGAUUUUUUUAAUGAUCAUCAUCCACAUCGGCUCUCUCAUGUUCCCUUUUCCCACUACAUUCUUAGAGUUCCCUGCUGGCGAGUUCUACCGAAAAUUCAGUGAAACAUGUAGUAGGUACUCACUUAUCGUUUUCCUCCAUUUAAACCAUUCAGAUUCUCAUUUCUUAAAUAGAUAAAGACACCUACUUAAGCUUGAUUUAAAGAUAGAUGGAGUCUCUAAAACUGAUAGGAAUCAAAGGUUCGAAAGUUUCUAAUCUUCUUAUGACAUCUACGUUUUGCUGUUGCUUAGGAUGGUUAUCUCUCAAAAAGACAUAAUUGCUUACCGCGAACAUGCCGGAGAAGCCUCAAAUUCACAUCCGCCUAUGCUCGAUGCAGUGUCAAAUGAGUUAUGGGAAUAGAAAAUUGCGAGGAAGAGAAAUGGAGCAGAUAUCUACAGACUACAGAGGAACGUUAAGAAACGGGAUAGGUUAGGUUUAUAUAAAGAUGGUUUCGAAAGAGAAAAGGCGUGUGUUUUUAAGCUAAGACACUUGAAUUUGGUAAGAUUUUUAGCAGUAACUUGAUCGCUUUGGCUACAGAAUCGACCGGUGGAGAAAAUAUUAGAGACUUACGCUCAAUUCUUCAUUGGCUUCAUCAUGGAGAAGAAGAUUAGGAGUGGUUAUAUGAGUUGUAGAAGGUAUGUUUUAUCUAUUCGAACAAUGGCCUGAGAUUAUAUUUGAUCUGAAUGCAACUAGUGUUUUGUUAUCGAUGAUGAUCAAGAACCAUUGAUUUCUCAAUUGAAGAUUGGAGAUGAAACCUACUCAUCAAGUAAUAAUGACUCUUUCUUCGAAAAUAUAAAAUACAAAAAUUUCAAGUUACGUGUGUUUUUGUUUGUGUUAUCAUCUACAUAUAUAUUUAACUUUGGAUUGUUUAUCUUGGAAAGGAUUACAAAUCUAAAACCUGGUGAGGACCAAGAAGAUCCAGAAAGGAGGUAUGUUGAGUAAAUAAGAGUUUAUGGUAGGAUAACCUAGAGAGAGAGUGGUUGAUGAGAAUAUGAGGAUUGAAGAGAGAACGUUGGGGAAAAUUAAGCAAGUAAUCACACUUGGACUUAUGUUCACUGACAAAUCCCCAUCAAAGCAAAUCAAGCUUCUACGCAGAUUUAUGACAUGGUGUUUCUUCGUAUGAGUCUAGCUCAAGGCAUCAAUCAGAUAUGUAAUUAGGUUGUGUGUAUUGAAGAAUUGAAGCUUUACUCUUUUGUUUUGAUUUUAAUAGAUAAGAUAGUUCUGUUACGAUUUCAAGACAUAUUUUGUAUACAACCAAUAAAUAAGAUUUGCACGUACACAAAUAAACAUAUCUGUUAGCUGGUUUAUUAUCAGUCAUCAUUUUCAGUCCAAUGUAAUCUCUUUUAUAUAAUUAAUAGGCAAAACCAUCUGUGGAUACGUAAAGGGUUCUAACGAGGCAUCUAAUGAAUCUAAGGUUAUAGGAAAACAUGGAUGAGCUGACAUGAUGAAGAGUUUUACUCAAGUUUGCGGGAUCAAAACUUUUUCUAAAAAUCACACGUACGUAUUAUUUGUAUAACUAGGUACUGAAACUAUGAAAAAAAUGUCAGCAUACAAAAACAAAUGCUAAAAUUCCAAGAUGAAAAAAUUUAUAUUAAUAUGCCUAUGAUCAUCAAUAAACAAAACUUUCAAAAAAAAACUAGUAAAAUUUGUACGUAUACAAGAGAAAACAACAAAACAUACUUUUAAUCGUUAAAAAUCAUGAAUUUGAAUAGUAUUGUUUUAACAUGAAAACUCAAAUAUUGGAACAACACAAUAUAUAUACACUCACCAAAUAUAAUACUAUACAUUACUAUGAACUGAAAACUAAUCAAACAAAUCUGUUAACUAUGAGCAAUAAAUAAAUCAAUUUAAUAUUGUCAAAAAAUCACAAAUAAAAUCAACUAAUUCUUAGCUAUAUUUGUGAUUUUUGGUAUAAAAUAAUAUAAAUUAAACUUUAAAUAUUUUUUUAAGAAAAUUAAAUUUAAAAUUUAUAAGAUACUAUCCACGCGUAGCGCGGAAAAUGAAUCUAGUUAUAUAUAACGGGGGUGAUUGGUAGUUGCUGUAGGUGCUGUCCACAGCCCAAUUUAUUUCUAAAGCACCAAAUUCAGAGCAAUCAAGCUUUAAAUUUUUUUUUGAAACCACAGCUCUUGAAAUAACCUACAGCUGUACAAAUGCUCUGCAGAGCUAAAUAUCCAAAUCAAUUUUUUAAUGAUUUCCAUAAAAUUCUACAGCAAUAAAAUCUAAAGCCACAGCAAAAAGUCUACAGAUUUUUUUCUACAGCAAAAAUUUUAAAGCUACAGCUCUUACCAAUCAAACCCAACAUUUCAAUAGAAAUGUGUUCUUCCCAUUUUUAAAACAUAUAUUACCAAGUAGUUCUAGUUAGUCAACGUUCUAGUCAUCGCUAUUCUCUCUUUAAAGCCCAAGGAUUUUGUAUAUUUCUUGAUCGCUGGAUAACAUAAUAAGGAAAUCAAUUAAUAAUGAUGCAAGAGGAAAUCUCCGAUUAUUCUUGUUCUAAAAGCUGAAUAUUCUGACCUUAUCUAAAUAUUGUAUAAGAAGAGUGAGAUCCAUCUCAUGAACAUCUCCAAUGUAUAGUUUUCCAGAUACAUAUGGUUUACUGUGUUUAGUAUAUAUGCUCUUUUGAUUUUUUGAUAGCUUAAACGUUUGAACCGAGGAAAGACAUUUAUAUGUUUCCAUAACUUAAACCACUUGUACAAAACUUAAAGCCAAACAGAUAUUAUAAGAUAAUUCAGAAAAUAAAAAUAGUUCAGAAUAUUUUUUUAAGUAGCAACUUCCGCCUCCCCACGAUCGUUAACAUCAAUGUCCAUCUUAGUAGCCAAUGAUACACUCACACCAUAGUUGCGGUCAUGUUAAAAUCAGCAGACUUCAGUUUUUUCAUACUACAGAAGAUCCGUGAUAGAAUGUAUUUAAUACGUACAUAAGCAACAAAAUCAGGGAUUGGUAGACGGCCAAGCUCGUUCAAGAUGCGUGAUAUGGUAAACUUUUGGUGACUGGCUGUGAAAUUGUAUUUGGUUAUCCUGACCUGGAAGGUGUAAGUCUUCUAAACUAUGCACACAAUAAAAGGGGUAGCUGAGUCUCCUCUGGACUUCAGUGAAUGAAUUGUGAAGGAUCAAUUCAAUAAUUUGAAGACAACUAUGCAUAAUAUCAUGUGUUAAGGUAGACACGUACCAAUAGAUACCCAGCUUCAUAGGCUCGGAUGGCAUGUAAUAAUUGCAUUUCCCCAUCUAAACAAACAAAUAUAGAUUCUCAGCAGUCUCAUCAGCAAUAUUCACCUCCACACGGUACCUAGAAGAGAGGCAAAUUGUUUUAAAAGUACGGUGGUUGUUGAUGUGGUUAUGGUACCUCAUUCUACUGUAUUAGGAAGAUCAAGUUGUAGAGUCCAAUUUUGAAAACGGUGCUGGGCUAAAUAUGAAUUAGAUAGUUACUUAUCAAUUUGAAUGGUCGCCAUCACACGGUCUUUUCCUUGUGAAGGGUCACUGAUACUGCUCUUGAUAGCAGUGAGCUGGCCGAUAAGAAUUAACAUUUAAAAAUUCCUGAAGGUUACAGUGGUGAACAUGGGAGAAACAGAUAGUAAGUGAAUUACCUGGAAGCUGGGUAUUACUGCUGGCUAGCAGCUCACUGUAAUUAUGGAAUCUGAAGUGUUCUUGAGGAAUUGGGGUAACCGUCGGUAACCGUGUCGGUUAACACAUCGAAACGUGUCGUAUCACUGAACAGAGGAGAGUGAAAUUUUGGUCACACCCAGUGACAUCAAAGUCAAAGAGUACAUAGAACCCGCCUUGAAGUGAGGCCUGUAGGUGGCAAGCCGGUUAACAUUGACGGUGGCGGGUAUGAGUCUCCCUGAGAACGAUUUGAAAAAAAAAACAAAUAAACAACCGGAUUCAAAACCAUCCGGCUGUGUGUUCAUAAAUCUAAACACGGCUGUGUGUUCAUAAACAAAUAUGAACAUGACUUUAAAGAAUGGAACCACCUUAGCAUCCCGGAGGAGCAUAUCACCCAUGAGCUUUCCACCAUCUGGCCUCCCAAAACCUGAGAAGCAGUACCUCCAUGGUGGAUGAACAACGAAACAAAAAACGUUAGCCAUAAGAAGGAGAUUAUGUAUGCAAAUAGAGAUAUGAAGAUGGUUUUCAGAGAAGGAAAGUAUACCUUCUUAUACCGGUAGACACAGCGCCUCUCAAAAAAUGACGACAUAUUGAUGUAGAGAUAGUGGCUGAAGGAGUUAAGAACAUGAUUAAUGCAUGAAUCCGUAAUUGGUGUAGUUUCUUUGGACGGCAAGAAAGCCAAAAGACGGUAGGGGAUCCCAAGCAAACUGAAUAGUCUGGCCGAGUUAACAAAAUCCCAAAAAUAACAAAAUCCAAGAUGGCUGAGGAAGGAGACGGUGAGAAACACUAAUUAGCGAUGAAUACGUGUUCAGAAGAGGUGCUUUGUUCCCCAGCGGGCUUGGCAAUAGCUUAACAGAAGGCCCAAAAAAAGAUAAAGCCCGACUCAAUUAGUUUUCCAGAUUAAUGAAACGCAGAGUAGUAUGGUCUUGGACACGUGUCGCACUUAUAACAUCUGACUUUUUGAACUGGAAUCUGACGAGAGAGCAAAACACACCUUUAUAAUAAUAGAUUAGAUUUAUGGUAAAAUUAAAAUUUCCGCUAUAUCUAUAAUAAUAAAACAGACUUCUCUAUCUUCUCAGCCCUCCACGUCACCAUGAAGCAGCGGGCGAAUUACGCCACGUGGCAUGUCAACAAAUUCCCAGUCUUCGGAUGCUUUAAGUCGUUGGGCCUUCUGUUUUGCCAUUUGUUAUAAAUAAGUUUCUUAUGGGCCAAUUAUAUGUAAUACCUUUUUGACUUAACCUCCAUCGUUCUUCAACGCCGGCUUCUUUGUCGUUUAGAUUUCUUUCUUCAACCUCUUCAUCUGUUUUGUUAUCUGAAUCGUCACCUGUUGUAAGGAGCUUAACGAAUAUUCUCCCACUAGCUUAAGCUUGUUUUUUCAGAAAAAAAAUACAUCACCAAUGUGCUUCCCCUCUCUCACUCCAUUUUUGACGUCUAGCCAUUGGAAAUCUUAAUAUCCCUAAACUAAAACCCUUAAGAAACUAUGGGCCAUGGCUUUGAAAAGAUUCAAAUUCAUCGCACUACGAACUGUGGUACAAUCAUCAUUCGAAACCCUAAUGCACCCACACAACAGUUCACGUCUAUAUCUUUUGGUUCCUUCUCUAACUAAUUCUGUGUUUCACAUUCUUUCAUUUACAGUUUCUGCCGUAUGUACGUCCAAUCAUAAUUGUUUGCAGAUUCGUGGAACCCUUGCUUUCCUCCAUGAAGGAGCUAGAAGAUGUUUUGAGGUAAAUCCAUUAAACAUAGAAUUUUUGGUGUAUAAUUCUGAAGUUGAGGCUAAAUCAAGGUCUGUUGAAUUUGAUUACAAAUAUUCAGGUUCAGAGGUCUCGGUUACACUAGAAAUUAAGAUGAUAAAUAUGAGAUUUGCUAAUCCAUCUUGGAGAAGUUCCCCAACGCUUACAGAUACUCCAAUUUGUGAGAAUAACUCUUUUUUCACUAAGAAAACGUCUUACACUGCAAGUUGACAACUACAAACUGGCAAGUUCAUAUACAACCCUUUAGAUUGUCCCUAAGUUUGUUAAUUUUUAUUGCUUAACAUAAAUUCUUUUCGCAGAUUCCUUCGAUGGGUUUCCCACGGGAACAAGCCAGGAAAGAUAACUCUAUUAUGGGCUUGACAUCAUGGACUUUCUGAAGAAGAAUUCUCUUAUAGGUAAGCCUUACCGAUGAUACUAACUCGCUUGAAGCAGAAACAAGAAGAAUGGGCUAGCUGUCACUCUGAUUUCAGGAAAGUAUGGGCUUAAGUAUAUGCUAAUAACCAUCACAAAUCACUAUAUCAUCGAAGCUUCUAUAUCAAGCAGCAUGACUCCAAGAAUCUGAACACAAAAGGUAUGUUUUCUUACAGUUUAGAUUAGGUUGAAGUUAUAUAGAAGAAUGCUUUAUAUAAAGGCCUCAUGAUUGCUGAAGGAAAGAUGAUGAAACAAAUAGAAUGUCUUCGUAUCACUUAAAGUGCAAAUUUGCAUCCGAGUAAAGUUGUCAGUUGUGUCCCAAAUGCAGGUUUAGUAGCGGAAUAUAAGAUAUCAGUGGCAGAAAGUACAAAGAAAAUCCGCUUCAUUUCAUUGCUGUCGUAACUAAGCCCUCAGAUGUGGAGUUCAGUUACUCUGAUACAUAAGCUCAUGCUGACCGAUAUCAACUAUUCAAGAAUAACGAUGAAGAGAUAUGUGCUUUGGAACAGUCAAAUAAAGUAAUGAAGUUGUGGGUGAUCUUUUUGGAGGCCUAUGUUUCCCGUUCCUUCUAGGUCUCAAAUUGAUGAGGCAAUGAUAGAUGUUGCAAAGUCUAAAGACAACUAAGAGCAGCAUGAGGCAGUGAAAGACAACACAUGUGACGGUUUUCCUGUCUCAAACCUUAAACCGCUAACACCUCCUGAAACACCCAAUAAAGAAACUCCAACAAUAGGAAGCUCUUUUGCGCAAGAAAAACUGCAUCCUGGUGCAGCUAUGACUACUGAGGUAACUCGGUUGUCUCUCCUUUGUUUUUCCACUGUUCUUGAACCAAAGUUGUAUAGACUUUUCUUUUCACUAAAUACAGUUGUAGUUUCUCAUAAAUUCAGACUGACUGUGGUAGAGAGCCUAAGUAUGGGAAAUUAAUGGUUCUUAAAGUACCAAUUAUAUGUCUUAAGAAGGCUUUCAAGAGUGACUAAUCCAAAGUUUAUGACACUUUGAGGCUUGAGAAAGAUAUAAAAUGUAAAGAAAAAAUAUUACCCUAACUUCUGUUUGUGGGUUCUACAGGAAAUAGCUGGUGUCACCACUCAGAAAGGAUUUGUUAACGGAGCGUGAAGAGAAUCAUAGUAAGGUUAGUGAUUUCUCAAUGGGAGAGCCUAAGGUUGAGUGAGAAGAGAUGGAAUUAUCUACCACCGAAAGUUUUGAGCAUAAAAACUUUGAGGUUUAUAGAGUCAAUGGCGUCAAGUCUGUGCAGGCUGUACUGAAGCUGGAGCAAAGAGCAACACUCCCCAUGAGGAUGAUGGAAAUAAAACUACUCACAAGCUACCAGAAGGCAAGGAAAACGUCUCUAAAAUUAUUUCUUCAAGAGUUGAGAUCCCACAACAUUCACAACGGUACUUAGCGUGAUUCAUUACACAUCCUACAACAUUCACAACGGUACUUAGCGUGAUUCAUUACACAUCUUGAAAAUUAAAUGCUUAUUCCAAGUCUCCAGCUACUUAACUCUUCUGUUUUUAGGCAUUUGCUAGGUGAGCUGGUAUAGGAGUUGAUGAGCUUUAGCAGCUAGAACUUAAAGUAGAUACAUUACUAAGGCAAAUAAGAUCCACAAAGGUAUACACGAUCUCAAGAAAUCACAAGCUUAUAUUUGAUUUGGUCCAAAGAGAAUUUAGAACAGCAUCAAAUCUUGGAUUUGUUUCUCAUUGCCAAGCCCGGCCAAUGCUUGAUCAACUAUCUGACCUCAAAACAAAGGUACAUAAAGAGCCUCACAGUGUUCAAUAAUCUCAAUACAACAAUCGCAUAUUGAUUUAUUUACUGGAUGAAAUGAUAUUGGAAACCAACAGAGAUCUUAAGAGAAAGGUAAUGCCAUCAAAAUCUUAUAGCCCAAGAAAUUGAAUUCAUUUGAGAUCUUUUACAACAUUGCUGUCUUUCUCUCUCAAUCUAUCUCAGUUGGAGGAAAGUGAUGCAGCCUUUUAUCAAUCACUAUGGGGAUCUUCUUCUUCUGCAGAACAUCAUCAACAACAAGGCAUUAGCUCUUAUCAAGCAAACGUUCUGAGUUAAGAAGCGGGUUUCUUCAGACCUUUACAGGGUAAUGUAGCAUUGCUGAUGAGGUAUUGACCUUUUAUGUUCAGCUAGACUUAUAACUGACAGUUUGACAAAAAAAAAAGACUUAUAAUUGACUUUUGUUUGAUUUUAUGGAAUGAUUAUUACAAUCUUUAAUGGGACAAAUGCAAGAAAUUCUGCAAAAUCACAUAAUGUUAUUAACAGGUUCUUCCCUGGAUGGAUGGUCUGAAAAAAUACAUAGCAAUCUAUAUAGAUGUGUGUUCCAUAGAUAACAUAUCAUAGUUGUGCCAUUUGGUUUUCCCAAGAGAAUUAUAGUUCACGAUUACAAAACACUGAUAUGUAAUUAAGGCUGUGAUGUCACUCACACUACACAUUCUUUCUUUUUGUACCUAAAAUAUAUAAAUAUAUACUCAACUUUUUAAAAUACAAAAUUUUGUGGGAGCAGUCUUUUAAUUAUUUUAAAAUAUUAUAGAAAUUUAGUUGGAUUAUGAUUAAAUUAUCUGGAUUAGAAUUAAAUGGUGAAGCAAGUAGUGGUCUACAUUUUUAUAUCUAUCAAGGUAUUAUUGUUUUUUUUAAGAUGUGUUUGUACAUAUAUUCACAUGUAGUGGAUUAAAUUCCAAAUAGUUGGCUUCUAAAAAUUUCAAUUAAAGCAUACUUCCAAAUGUAGUUGAAAUCAAUUGGAGAGUAAACUAUAUUCUAACAAUCAAUACUUCCAAAUGCAUACCCUCCACAAACGUCAAUCACUUUGAAAAGAUAGUUUAACGGGGAUAACAAAUAGGUAAUAUCCCAUGCAGACAGACCACUAGAAAUCAGCCAAUCUAAGGAGCAUAACUUUAUCAUAUCAAGUGCACUUGAAAUAUCAAGUGCUAUUCAUGUUUUGAUUUUGAAAAAAAAAAACAAUCCUCUCUGACUUUCUCUAUACUUUUUUUUUUUUGGACAACACUCUAUACUUAAAAUUUUGGAUGCACUUGAAUGGAAAACAGAUAAACAAUAAUAGAUGCACAAAGUGAGAGUCAGAUGCUAUCUGACCAAUUAUAGAUGCACAAGAGCAAACAAUAAUAUGUUACUGAUCCAACAUAAAUAAUCGCUGUGACAUAUGCUAUUACUGCAAAUAAAUGACAAAAUUUACUUUCUUAAUUUAAGUAAAAUAAAAUAAAUUAUGUUCUACAAUACGUUUUUCUUUCUGCUGACAAAAAGAAAAGAACACUUUUUCCGAUUAACACAAAACAAAAAAACUUGAGAAGAUAAAAAUGCUAAAUUAGCCAAGGACAAUGUGAUUAGCCAAAGACAAUGUGAUUUUAGUAUUUGGUUAAGGAAAUUUUUGAAUAAAAACAUUGUUAGAGACACACUAAAAAGCAUGGACAGAGUAUAUUCAGAUAUACCAUAAUCAAACAUAAAACUUUAACACACAAUUAGAAAAUAUAUUAAUAUACUACACAUAUAAUCUCAUGCAAAUGCAAAAAAAAAUUCCAUUAAAAAAGUAUAACUGAAAAUAAAAAAUACAAACACGUAAGAAAUAUAAACAAAGGUCAAAUGUUAACAAAAUAAAUAUAUAUGAUCUAAUUAGAAAAAAAAAUAUUUAUUAUAUUCAAUUUAAAGUAAUUUUUAAAAUAUUUUAUAAAAUUAAAAUAUAUUUUCGUAAAAUAAUUUUAAUGUAAACUCACCAAUCUCUAGUUCAAAAAUAAUAUAGUUCGGCUCGUCCAGUACGAGCACCAGCUAUCACUUGGUUUUAUAAUUAAGAGUAUAUUAAUUUAUAUUUUCAGUAAGGUUCUAUUCUAUUACCCAGUAAUGUUAGUUACAAAAGGUUAUAAGAAAGAAAAAUGAACUUUUUGAAACUUAUAUUAUACCUAUAGCCUACCUAGAAAUAAUAUGCUACAUGUUACACGUGGACCUUAUUAUAUAUGUAUUAUAGAAUCAAACAACAAUUAAUCUUGAGUUUUACUCUUUCCUUUUUUAUUGUCCUCCACUAACAUAAUGCGUUGUCCAGGAAAUAAUUAUUUUAUAUGUAAUAGCCGUGAGACGCAAGCUUCUCAAAUGGAAAAACUUUCACAUUUUUAAUAUUUCAAACAUUAGAAGUCAAACAUUAGAAUUUAAUCUAGGUUUCAGCAUGAGAUUGUUAAUAAUAAUAGUUUUCCUAAUGGUACUACUAAGUUUAAUUUCAUUUUUUGUCCAUUGCUAUUUUUUUCCUUUAAAACUAAAAACUGGAAGAAUUUCUAGUAAAACUGAGACUAAGGAGGGGUUAUUGGGAGUUAAUUUUUGAAGGAAUUUUAUAAUUUAGAGAUUUCAUUGUUAUUGGUUUAUGAACUCUUAAAAUCUUAUUAGAAUCCUUUGUUAUUGGUUUGUGGACUUUUAAAUUCUACGGAAAUCCUAUGUUAUUCAAAAAAUUUAGUUUUUAUUGACUUUGUAAUUCUAUUAAACUCUUUUGUUAUUGGGACAUAAAUUCUCUCUAGUUUUACUCAUAACACUCAAUUUUACAAAUAUCACAUAUAGUAAUAGGAUUCUCAAAAUCUAUGUAACAAAAACACAAAUACACAAACACAACAAGAUUUUCUUACAUUUUUAUUGUCAAGUCAAAGAUAAUUGUAAAAAGAAAAAAAGAAAUUAUUAAAAAUAACAAUUAAAAAAAAAUCUUUCAUGAAAUAUAACUAUUUAAUACUAAAAUAAAAUCAUGAGAAGAUUCAUAGGUUGAUCUUAAAAACUUUAAAACAAAAAUCAAACAAGACAAAUCAAAAUGUCAAAAUAUUAAAAAGCCAAAAUUAUUAUUUAAUUUUCAGAUAGUUCUAUUUUAUGAAAGAAUUUUAAAAAAAUAAUAAUAGAAAGAUAAGUUUGGAAAGAAAAGUAUAUAUGAAAAUCUAUAAUAAUCAAUGACAAUUUAUACAAUACAUUGGGUAAGAAUUCAUCAAAUCUACUUAACUUUUAAAAAUCUAUUAACUCUUAAAAUUUUCAAACUCCACACAAAUUCUAUUUCCAAUAGGUCCCCCUAAUAUCGGGAAUUUGUAAAAAUAGUUUUUGUUAUUUAAGAUAUUAAGAAACAAAUAAAUAGAUUAUAUGAGAACAUAUUUGUAAAUGUUUUUCUUCUCUUAAAUGAAAGUUCGUAACCGACCACCAUGAAAAAUUAAAAUCGAGGCCUAUUAUCAUACAUUUUUGAAGUUUCGUCUUUUUAUAUAUUUUUUUCAUUAUUUUAUAAUUUAAACAUUUGUUUCUUUAUAUGAUCAACGGGUUUUAAGAAUGGAGGGGUAUGUUGUUGUUAAUAUAGUAAUCAAAUCGAAUACACGCACACGGUUGACAUAUACCAAAUUGUGGUGUGAAUCAUUAGUAAAAUGAACAAAUGAAAAUGAAAUCGUGAAGAGAAAGAGACGAUGAUUAAUCAUGAUAUAUGAUCAGAGAGUGCGCAAUAAUAUGUACGAAAGCGACGAAAAAGUUUAACAUGUCAUCGAUAAAUCAUAAAGCUCCAACUACAAGCACUAUGUACGGUCUUCUUUUCAAGUCUUUGGUAUAUGGGUUUGGAUAGCAUUAAUUAUUUUGAUUCAAACAAUGGUAGAGGUGAUCAAGUUGUUUUAUAGUCUAUGAAUUAAGCUUGUUACAAAAAAAAAAAAAAGUCUAUGAAUUAAGCUAUAUACAAUACUGCAUAUACAAUACGUUCACAGUCAGUCUUCUUCCAUCUCAGAACUUGGAAUACUCUGAAACUCUUGGCCUAUAAGGCACAUAUAUUUUUUUUUGAAUUAUACACAGUUUCCCCAAAGGCUUCCCAGGCCCAAGGGACUAAUCUGUGUCGCUGCGGCCCGAAUGUUAAAUUUCGCAGUGGCCGGGAAUCGAACCCAGGUGGCGGUACUCACAGCUGUGAACCCUUUACCACCAGAGCUAGAUGCCCCGGUUAUAAGGCACGUAUAUACUAAAGGCAAAAGAGAAUUCUUUCAUCCCCAAAGUUGUGUAUCAAGCAAAAUCAUUAACUAAUGGGGGGUUUGUAUCACUUACAGAAAGGGAUCCAAGCUCUAUGUGAUAGUUUGCUUUGAUGUUAGCUAGGUCUGAGAAAUUCAAGUUUAAACUUAUAAUGUUUCAUGAUAGGUCUACUCGAUUCAUUAGCUAUAAGAGUACAUUAUGUGUGAUUUAUUAGAAGUAUGUUAAUGCUGUGUUCCUUGAGUUGCAUAUGUAGAUUCUAGAGGAUGCAUGAGAAACAUAAAUGGUCAGAAAUAUGUCUACACUUUGUAGGGUAAUAAACUCUCGUUGAUAGCCGCUAUGCUCCAAUUGUGAAGAACAAAGGUAGUGUAUAUAGCCAAAGGCUCAACCAGAGAAGAAGCUUCUCAACACUGGACCGAAACAAAAAAGAUCGGAAAUUGAGCAAAAUGGUGUAGAGGCCUAAAGCUUCAAAUUCAGCAACUCGGGGUUGCUUUCCAUGCAAGGUACUUAUAAUCCUUCCAUUGUCAAAUUUAUUUCAUUUAUUAUUUAUUAGGAAUUUUAGUAAUUAAACUCAUGAACUAAAGAUCAAUGGUAAAUAAACCUCUCCACUAAAAAUUCGACGAAAAAACCCAUCAACUUUAAUUCCGUUAACAUCUGUCACCCUCCGUCACGGUAUUUUAGACGGAGGGUAACAGAUGUUAACGAAAUUAAAGUUGAGGGUUUCUUUCGUUGAAUUUUUAGUUGAAGGGUUAUUUUGCUAUCCAUCUUUAGUUGAGGAGUUUUAUUACUAAAUGCCUUUAAAUAUUUUAAAAUCUUUAUUGUCACUUAUGCACUAUUUAAAAGGUAACUCUUACAAUAGAUUUAUAAGCCUUUAAAAUAAUUUAUAAAUUCAUAUACAUUACUUUUUCAAUUUUAUAACCGAUUUACAAAGCUUUAUAAAUAUUUUAAUACUUUUAUAAAUUAUUAAUAAGGUUAAAAAUGAUUUUAUAAAAUUAAAGAUAUGGUUGUUCACCAUACUAUAAAAACAGAAGUAAAUAAAUAAAACAAUAAAAGUAAAUCAAAGAUAUUGUUUUAUUUAUUAAUAAGGUAAGAGUAUAAUGUAUUAGUUCGGAAAUCAAAGAAAAAAUUAUAAUCAUGACUAUUUUUUUCUCUUUGCUUUCGGAACCAAUACAUUAUACCCCUACCUUAUUAAUAAAUAAAACAAUAUUUUUUAUUUACUUUUCUUCUUUUAUUUACUUACUUAAUUCAUGUUUUUGUAUUAUGGGGAACAACCAUACCUUUAAUCUUAUAAAGCUAUUAUUAAACCUUAUUAAUUAUUUAUAAAGUAGUAAAAUAUUUAUAAAGCUUUAAAAAUUGGUUAUAAAUUUGAUAAAAUAAUCACUUUCGUAAUUAUUUAUUUCUAUUUCUUAUAAUUAUACAAUUUAUUACUAAAAAAUUUUUCAAAAUUGUUACAAUCUAAAAAAUAUAUAUAAUUUUAAACGUAAUAUUAUUAACUUCUUUUAUAUAUCUACAAAUUUUAGAAAUACAGUUUAGUUGUACUUUGAUAAUUAAAUCAAAUUUAUAUUAAAAUAUUGGUAAGAAAAUAAUAAAAUAUUAAUAAAAUUAUUUUAAAUAUAAUUUAAAUUUAAAAAUUUUAUUACUGCACAUUGUGAAAGAAAACACCUAAUUUAAAAUAAUGCAUAAAUGAUAAUAAAUAUUUCAAAAUAUUUAAUGGCAUUUAGUAAUAAAACUCCUCAACUAAAGAUGGAUCGCAAAAUAACCCUCAACUAAAAAUUCGACGAAAAAUCCUCAACUUUAAUUCCGUUAAUGUCUGUCACCCUCCGUCUAAAAUACCGUGACGGAGGGUUGUUGGAGAUAGGCUUAGCACAUGCCCAUUAAGAGCUAAGCCCAAAAUCAGGCCCGGCCCGUUAAGCAACAAUUGAUGAUUUCGCUAGAAGACAAAACGUACGUUACUAUAAAUAGAAGAUGUCAGACUCAUUGAAAAGACGCGGACAAAAGUACAGAAAGUACAGAAAAGGAGAGCAUCGCCUCUUCAUCACAGACAAAGUCUUGGACGACCUCGACCACUAGGCGAGCUCGGCCCAGACGACCUCAGACCAUAAAAUAGAAAGAUAUUUGUUUAGACGAACUGUUUAGACGAACAUCUUUAGUUCUUAUAAUUGACCGAGCUUGUUUAUUCUUGACUAUUAAUACGAAAAUCUCCACCCCUUUACAUCAUUUAUAAAUAUUACAUCACCGACCGGAUAUGGAAACAACAAUUGGCGCCCACCGUGAAGCAGGGGAUUCUUCUUCACCUCAAGACAGUUCGGCAAUCACAGAACCCACAGCGCAACCAGACGCCCUGAUUUCUGCAAUCACCGACCAUCCUGGAAUGACGAGCACACAAUUAGCUGCAAUGACAAUCUCGGACCACCUAGCCAAAACCUCGACGCCAGUGGCGACGACCUCGGGCGAACCAUCAAUGGUGGCAACCUCGGACCAUCCAGCCAACACCUCGAUGACUGUGGCGACGACCUCAACCCAGCCAUCAAUGGUGACGACCUCGGCCUUACCAGCAGCAGUUACGACCUCGCGUCAUCCAGCCGACACCACGUCUCUCAUACCGACGACCUCAGUACCUAACACAAGAACGACAUACUCCACUCAGCCGGACAUCUCCCUGAUCUUUCAGACCCUUCUCGGUAGGAUCGACGAGCUCGCUCGAGGAACAACCUCUCGCUUGGACGACCUCGCGCAUUCUCAGAUUAUUUGCAACAACCGCAUCAACAAACUCCAGUAUGUCGAAAUUGGCGCAUCAAAAGCACAACAAGUUGAUAUCACUCCACGACUCCAACGUGUUCUGUUCAGCGAUUUACCAACACCAGUGACCGGUUCAGGACAGCAACAAUCAAUCCAAGCCAACGAUCUACGUGCACCAAUCACAAAUCCCGGACAACAACAUCAGACUUAUAUGAACGAAUCUUCAGCACCAAUCAUCGACUCCAGACAGCAGCGCCCAGGCGCCAACUCUAAUUUCCUGCAGAUCACCAACAGGGAAACCCAACACAGAGACGACGACAUUGAAGAAAUGAGGGCUCAGCUACAAAACAUGAACUCCAAAGUUGAUCAGGCAACCAGCGUAGCACCAAAGAUCGAUCGUGUACUCCGCGAAACCCAGAAUACACCUUUUACAACUCGUCUCCUCAGUAUUCCUGUCCGACAUCAGAAGAACAAAAUCAAACUCCCGACUUACAACGGAACAUAUGAUCCAAGAGAGUAUCUCACCGCUUUCAGUAUCGCAACGGGGAGAGCCAAUUUUUCACAGAAGAACGCGACGCCGGUCUCUGUCAAUUCUUUGUGGAAAAUUUAAGCGGACUCGCCCUCGGUUGGUUCUCACGCCUUGAAGCUCAUUCUAUCGACGACUACAAUCAACUCUCGACGGCUUUCCUCAAACACUACUCGCUGUUCAUCCAACAGAGUGCAAUGAAUGCCGACUUAUGGACUCUAGCUCAAGAACCUACAGAGACACUACGCUCGUACAUCGAAAAAUUCAGAGCCAUAGUUUCUCUCAUCACCGUACUCGACGAAGCAGCAGUCCUCGCACUCCGAAACGGUCUUUGGCACAAAUCACCAUUCCGAGAAGAGCUCAUGAAGUAUAAACCACAGACUCUGGACGAUGCACUCCAUCGGGCUAUCACUUUCAUCGAAAUCGAAGAAGAUAAAGCUGCAUUCAGCAAAAAACACGCAUCCACCAAAAAAUCAUCUUCAAAGGAUAAAGAGCUUGACGAAUACAAUGAUCCUAGACAACAUUAUGACAAAGCGUACAGAGAUAGAAAGAGCAGAAAAGCAUCCAAAUAUCAAAUCAGCGACCAACCAUCCAGUCGCUCCAUAGGAAAGCAGGCUCGUAACAGUCAAGGAUCAGAAGAUGCCCAAGCAUAUUGCAGCUACCAUAAAUCUAAGACCCAUAAUACAGAAGAAUGUCGCCAUCUACAGGAGUGGUUGUUGAACAAAUACCGCAACGAUCGGGAUCCAUCAUCUAAAGACCAGCAAAACGACAAGGCACCAAAAAAUGAAGGUGAACGUUUUUGACAAGUCAAGGAAGAACGUGAUCGCCAACACGGACAUAAACGUCCCAACGAGCAGACAAACGCUGACACAGAGGCUCACAAGCGCGCACGCGACGACCGAAACAAUGAGCAAAAACGCGAAAGAACUCCCCCACCUCGACGUGUAAUUAACGUGAUCAUGGAAGGUCUCCAGACUGAUAUCUUGCAUAUUUACAUUGUUUUAAUUAUCAUUUCUUGUGCACAUUGGUCUUUUGGAAUAGCAUUUACACAUGUUUAGGUUGCAUUUCCAUGCAUUAGUCCUUAUCAGGUGUUGGAGGGAGUUUCAUGAUGAACUCUGUGCCCCAAGGAGUGUUUUGAUGCCCAAAGAAUGUAGAUGAGUCGUUGAAGGAUCCUAGCGGCCAGGCGUAGCGGCAAAGGCUGGUCGCUACAGAAGAUAAGUACCGUAGCGGGCAUGUGUAGCGGGAUGUAGAGGCCGCUAGAUUUGAAGCGCCUUCUACAGCGGCCACCCAUAGCGACUUUACGAGGUCGCUAUGCGUUCAAGACUUCUAAAAUUUCCCAAGUAUCCUAGCGGCCACACGUAGCGGGCAUGACAAGUCGCUACAGAGCGUAGUGACCUCUGGUAGCGACCUUUUCUGGUCACUACGGAGAAAAAUAUCUAUGUUUUUGUGGGUUAACCAAGGUUUGUUGGGUUAACCCAGCUCGUUUUUAGACAUCUAUAAACACCUUUAAGACCUAAUCUAAGGAGAAUCUCAUCAUUUUUCUCUCAAGAACAUUGCCUCCUUUGUAAAAAGCUUGAAUCUUUAUAUCAUAAUCUAAGGAAGUUCUUCAUAUUAUAUCUUGUUUCUCCUUCUCAUAAACAUGAUGAGCCUUGAAUCCAUCAUGGGUUUGAGGUUUCUCAUGGAGAUUAGAGAGUAGACACUCCUUGGAUUCAUGGGUUAGGUAGAUUAGGGUGCUUAAGUGUAGAUCUAGGGUGUUUUGUUGUAGAUCCUUCUUAUUCCUUGCUUGUUGAGUGAUCUUAAUUCUAUUNNNNNNNNNNNNNNNNNNNNNNNNNNNNNNNNNNNNNNNNNNNNNNNNNNNNNNNNNNNNNNNNNNNNNNNNNNNNNNNNNNNNNNNNNNNNNNNNNNNNCGCAUAUUGACAAAUGCAUUACAUGCUAUUAAUCCACAGUUUAAAGUGAAAUUUACUGUUGAAAUAGAACCAGCUUGACCAUUGUUACAUAUACUAGGAUCGUGUCCGCGCUACGCGCGGAUAUUGGAUGAAGUUAAAAUUUGUGUAUGACCAUAGUUGUGGCUGUUUCUGGUUGUUGUUAAAAUAGAUUUAAAGUAAUUAUAAGAAGGAAUAUAUGACAUUGAGAUUUUUAAGAUUGAUUGUUCAUUUUUUUAUGCGAAUGUUGUUGGAAGUCAAUCAAUAGAGAUGUAAAAGUAGAGGGGAGUUGAUGUUUUUGGUUGUGUAUAUUAGUUUUCUGUAGUAAUGAAAAUUAAAUUAACGUGUUGAAAAUUAAAAAUAUGAAAAAGUACUUCGUAAUUGAGAUAUUGUUUAGCAUUAUGGUGUUUUGAAUUUGGAAAUAAUCUUUUAAAAGUGUGUUUAGAUCUUUCAUUAAUAAACUAAUUGGAAAUUUUAUGAAUUACAUUGAAAAAGACCCCCUUGAAAAAAACUUAUGAACUAAAAAACCAGAUAAAUUGAUCAAAAAUUUAAUACUAAGGUUUUAUUGUGUUACUUACGUAGUAUAACCUACCAAAUUAAACUAUCUCUACGCUUGAUUUUGCAUUUAAUAGUUAAGAUGUUAUGUCCGGAUUUUGGACAAAUGAUUUCUUGGAUUUCAGAGAGGGAUGAUUGGGUUCGUAUGUGUUCGAGAAGUCUAUAAACGCACAGUAAAAUUGUAAUUUUGAUUUACCUCCAGCAGGUGGAGGAUCAUUGUGGUUUGAUUUGACCAUCGUGUUGAGGAAAACGACCCUUUGACGAAAGAAAGAAUUAGAAAAUGAGUCAGCUAAAGAGAGAGAUCUUGAAAUGUGGAAAUCCACUGAUUGAGUAACUGACACGUAAUAGUUGUCUCCGCCUUUCUUCUCGUUGCAAAUUUCUGAGUGGAAGAUGAUGUGAAUGUUAUGUGGAGCUGAGGUUGUUAACCGGUUUGUAUCAAAUAUGCAAUGUUACUGAAUUUAUUCGUAUAUUUUGUUGAUUUGGAUUGAUGAGACAAAAGAUUUUUUUGAACUUUCAGUGCAGCCGGUGAUUGUGGCAGAAGAUGUGCUACUUGCCUUUCUGAUAUUAUUGUCUAUCGAGAAGAACAUUUAAGUAUUAUAAUCUGUUGAAGAUUUUUAUAUUUAACGUGAUACGUUUAAAAUUUGAAAGUCUUGUGUGAAUUGAAAUAAUUAGUUAUAGUCAUCAAAUUGAAGCGAGAGAAAAAAAAACAAACAAUCCGAUAAUAAGAGUUCAUAAUUUGUCUUUGUUCAUUACUCUUUAUCUCUGUUUUAAGGAGAAAAGUAACGAAACAACAUAAUAGGUUUUGAAUUGCAUAACCAAGAUUCGGGUGCAAGAACAAACCACUAUAUUUUUUAAACAGACUUGAUAGCUGUCUUUAAUCUUUUUUUUGAGAAAUUUAAUUUUUAAAUAAAUAUUAGGAGCUAUAUUAGUCUACAUUUUGAUCCGCGUUUCGAAAGCACGAGUUUUUUCGGUUAAUAAAAAUGUGAUACGAAUAGUAUUUUGAUUAUGAUUUAUAUUAUUAAGUUAUUAUAUAAAAUAUUUUUUGUUUAAAAUUAUAUAAUUUGUCAAUUCUUAAAUCAUCAAGAUGCGGCACACUGUCUUCCCCCUGAUAAAAAUGAGAGUUCAGAAUGGUCUCUCGACAAGAUUUUGGUCUGACAACUGGACUCCGUUUGGCUGUCUAGAUGUCUUUCUCAAUAGCUCUCUGUCUCGUUUGGGAAUCCCGAUCAGAGCAACGGUGGCCUCUAUCUGUAGGAAUGGGAAUUGGCGACUUCCUCCUGCAAGAUCAGAACAACAACUUCAAUUACAAGUUUUUUAAAUACGGUAGAGUUAAAUGAGGAAGAUGAUCACUAUGAAUGGGAGAUAAAUGGGAAUAUUGGGUUGAAGUUCUCUACGGGAGAAGUGUAUACAUACCUGAGUGGCGAUGCAGCGCAAGUGGGUUGGGCUCCGUUGGUCUGGAUCAAGAGAGGGAUCCCAAGGCAGAGCUUCCAUGUCUGGCUGGUGGCUCAGAAUAGGCUUCCAACAAGGGAUCGGUUAUUGAGCUGGGGAAUUCAAACCGAUCAUCUUUGCCUGCUUUGCAACAAUCACGGUGAGUCUCGGAACCAUCUGUUUCAGGAGUGUGACUAUAGUUAUGAACUGUGGAGAUUAAUAACAUCGAGACUAGGAGUACAGCCAAAGAGAACCUGGGAAGAAACGACGGCUCAGCUAUUGUCCCUUCCGUCUUCUUCUACUCAUACUAGGGUCACUCUUCUAGCUUGGCAAGCUAUGACCUACUGGAUUUGGACUGAGAGAAACUCUAGACUUCACACCAACAACUUCAAGCCGGUUGACUCUAUCUUCACCAGUUUGGACAGGCAGAUAAAGAACAAGACACAAAGUUUUAGAAAUGCAAAUCCGAGUUCCUCCCCAAAGAUGUUUCAGAUUUGGAUUCGAUUCACCUGAUUCUUUCACGAUCGGCAAGAGACAACUAAACCGGUUCUAGGGUUGGUUAGGUUUCAACUAGGUUCUUUAACUAUGGGUUAGUAUAGUAAGGAAUAUGUAAUGGGCGAGGCCCGGUAACUAUAGCCUAUGGGCUUGGAACUCUUUUUAUUUCUUUUGCCUUUAUAUAUGAAAGCCUUUUUUCAAAAAAAAAAAAAAACCAUGGAUUUUUAAAUGCAAUUUAAAAAAUUUAGCAAUAAAAAGGGAUUACCUUCUAUUUGUAUCUCCAAUCGUUGACCAGAUAAAACAUUCGAGUGAUGAUUGAAAACAAUUGACAUAAUAUUUAUAAAAUGAAAGGAAAGUUAGUCAUCCGAUUGACAUAAUUGUGAGACCUGGAGAAGUCAGCAUUUCUUUGUUGUCAUUUUCUUCAGAGGUUUGAAACAACAGAAGUGAAAGUUAGUGCCUCAGUGGGAAGUUACUAACUUGUAGUGGAAAUUUUGAACGUGAUACAUAAAUUAAGGGAUUUAGAUUUUGGUUUUUAAAUAAAUCGAUUCACAAUUGUUUUUUUUUUAUUUAUUGAUAUUAGGUUUUUUAAACAUGAUUAUGUGUCAAAAUUUUAUUGGUGAAGUUAGUUCUGCUUUAAUAUAUAAGAUAUAUAUAUAUAUAUAUAGACACACAUACAUGCAUACUUGUUUUUGAUUAUGAGCAUAGAUGCAAUUUGGCUAUAAGAUGAUUACUAAAUGUAAAUUAUUCAGUCUUUUUCUUUCAAAGUUCUAGAAAACGAACAUAAAAAAUUUAGGUUUUCAAAAACAUGAGACAAAAGAGAAAAACCUUAAAACAUACAAGGUAGAUAGUUAGAAAAUUUGGUGUAGUAACGCAGAAUAGCAUUAUAGUUUUUUUUUGUUUGUAAAAGAGAAUAGCAUUAUAGUUUCCUCAGAUCCACGUCUAUUGUCUAUUGAGACCAAUCCGCAUGUCCUGGUCCAUAGCAAUAAUGGAAGAAAAGCUCCUCACCUUCGCCGAUAUUUUUAUCCGCAAACAAACCAAUCCUAUGAUCUCCUCUGACGACCAUCAACUGCACACGAAACCACAAAUAAAAUUAGGAAGAUCAUCAUUUUAUCGGUUUGAGUUUAUCGGAAUGUUUUGGAGAUAUGAUUAAUUGUAUAUUAGAACCUGUCACCAACGACUUAGUUGAUACACGCAUGAUUUAUCUUCUUUUUUUUUAUAAAUGAAUCAGUAUUUUGUCUAUGGUUUAAUAUAUGUCUGAGAUUAAAGUACAGUGACUUGGUACCUUGGCAUAGCAGUUUGGCUUUGAUGAGUGAUUGAGAAAUUUAAGCUUGUUCCCUUUACGGCGAGCAUCAAUGCAGAUCUGUAAUGAGAACAAAUCUGUAACUGGGGACUGAUAAACAUGCAAGUACCAGUCUGAAGAAGAGGUCGGAGACUGAAGUUACCUUAUCAUUCAAGGUAAAGAGAUAGGAAAAACCAUUCUUUCUUUCUGCUCUCCCACGUUCCUCUGCUUCCUCAUAAGAAACCAAUUCGCCAGUAUAUUCUCCGAGAAACUCGUUUUUCUUUAGAGAGUGCUGAUAGAUCAACUCAGAGUAUAUCAUUAAUGGUCUAAAAUUUGAGAAAAACUUUAAAUAAAGAGAGAAAGAAGAAGUUAUAUUCACGCAUAUAGGAAGUUAGUAUUACUGGGACCAAGCUAGUCCGAAUCUUAACACUUCUAGAUUGACAUAAAAAAAAACACUUCUAGCAAGUUUUAUAGUAUGAUCUAACCUAAAAUUGAUUUCAAGAACAUAAACAAUUAAGAAGAAUGCAUUAUAAAAAGUUAAUUCUAAUGUUCGUUCAAAAAAAAGAAGUUAAUUCUAAUGUCUGAAGAAUAAGUUUAGCAAAUCGUUAACACUAUUUUUUUGGUUAAUUUUAUUCCUAUCAUGAAAACCUUAUAUAGUUAUAUAGGUGUUUUAGACCCUUGGUGUUAAUUAAAAAAUUAAAAACCAUAUUCUGACGUAAGUAUGAUAACUUACCCGUGUGAAUGCACCCCAUCCAUGAACAUCCGACAUUGCAAGGAGAAUCUAGUGAAUAAUAAAAAAAAAAUGGCGAAUAAAUUAGCAAUAUUAAUUAUCGAUAAAAAAAAAAUAGAGGAUGAUUAUGUCGAUGGUUACCUUCUUGUGUUUCUUAAGGAGGAAUUUCAUGUUCAUGCAUUGGAUUGGCUGUGAUGCCUCACCGAGAGAGCCAUCUCCACAGCUAAUAUAAAACAAAGUUUUCUUAGAACUUUAUUUUUUGUUGAGAUUUAGUCAUAUCGAAUUUGAUAUUAAAAUGAAAAGUUACCUAAGCGAACAACUGCGACAAAUAUCUGGAUCGCAUUCACGAGAAAUAGAAAAGCAAGGACAUUGUCGGUUACUGCAUUGACCCUUUGCACAGUUACAUCCCCCAAAACGAUUCUUGCAUGUCUUUAGACACCUGAUAAAAACAUGAACUUAUGAUACAAAAAGCCUGUAGCCUAUUGGUUUAGGAUACUGUCAUUGAUGUGCCUUUAUUUUGGACUCAAACCGGCAUACUAUAUAUCAUUGCUAAAAAUGUUUUUUUUUGCUGAAUAUACCCUCGUUAAGUUUUUCUCCCCGAAAACUCAACAUCACAUAAAGUGGUUAGAAUUAAUAGUCUAACCUAAUGUAAUGGAAAAAUGAGUGUGCGAUUAGUUUUGGAGAGUGAAUAUGAAGAAUUAGUGACACAUACCCGCAAUACUUCUCACAGACAUUUCCGCUAGUUAAACAAGGGCAUUGAUCUCCACAUACUGGUUCGCAAGUGCAUGGUGUGUACUGCUUAUACUCCUUAUUUAAUUCCUUAGCUGAAUUUUUUAUAGCAGGUGGAUAACAAACAUGCUUUUUGAGUUUGGCUCUUUUUCUGGCAAACUUAGUUUUUUUCCGAGAUAUCUCUUUAUUAACCUUUAAUGAAAGCAUCAGUAAGAUUUAACCAAGUAAAGAUGAAUGUCAUGAAGACUGCAUAUUUAAAUUUACCUGAUUGUCUAUUUCUGGAGUUUGAUCUUGCUCCCGCAUGUAAUUGUAAACCUCUAAACACGUCUUAUGUCCGGAAAGUAAGUUUCUUGUAAUAAGACAACUGCGGCCAGCACAUGGACAAGGAACACAAACUAAGCUUUAGUAUAUAUAUUGGAACAUCAACACUAGAUAAGAUAAAAAUAUCAUAUAUAUAUAGGGAGAGAGAAAACUUAUUGCAAAUACCUCUACAAUGUAUUAUAUCAAACCUAACAUAUAAUGUCAUUUUACGGAGUCCUUUUUUAAUUAAUAAAACUCUUGACCAAAAAAAAAAUUAAUAAAACUAAACUCAGUGAAAACAUGAUACCGGGUGUAUAAAUGUAACUUUUUCCGGUCUAACGUACAUUUGUAAAUUUGUGUGUGACCAAAUGUUUCAGUUUUGAUAAAGAAGAUUUUUUAUGAAGAAAUAUUUAGGGAAUUGUCAUUUUAGAUUAUUUGUAUGUUAAUAACAUGGCUUUAUUUUAUAUUUUUACCUGUUUCUCCCAAAGAUUUCAACUCCUUGCAAGUAAAGAUUCUUGUCUACAGGGCUCCACUCAUUAUAUGUAUGUGACAUCUCUGUAAUAUUUUUUAUUAGUUCAUUAGGAUCGAUCAGUUAGUACAUGUACAGUUUACAGUUUCUGUGUUUGUACCUGUGACCACAUUAUUCCCUUUAUCGUUUGAUAUAGAGUUAUCAUUAUCCACCACAUGAUCAGCUUCUAUGAAACUCCUUGGCUAUUAAACCAGUAAUAAACAUAAUUAAGAUAUGACAACUAUUGUGUGUGCGAUCGAAAGAGGGAGAGAGUUACCUUAAGGUAACAAUGCUUACUGCAUUGUUUUUCAGCAUCUUCCCUCUCAAACAAAUUAGAUUUGUUUUCUCUCUGACAAGCCAAAGUCAUCAAAUUAAUUAAUCACUAAGCUUUAGGCUUAUGCAACGCAAAAAUAAAUAAAUAAAAGCUUACAGGCAGAGGCUGAUAUUCUUCAUGAAGAUGACAGUCGAAUAUCUGUAAAAAAUAGUAGUAAAACAUGUGUGUAUAUAUAUAUGUAUGUAUAUUUUGGUGACAAAAAAAUAAAGAUUCAAAAGUUACCAAGCAACGACGGCAAAAGUGCUUAUCAGCAGUUGCCGGAACAGAAAUAAAUUUGCUUUUGUCAGAAAUUUCACCAAUAUCUCCAUCAUUCUUAAGCUUAUUGUAUCUCUCCUACAUUAUAUUCGAAAUUAAAACAUUUUUCACGAGGAUGAAUGAGAAAAAAUAAGCAGAAAGAUUAUAUAUUGAUCGAUCAUUAACAAAAAGAAAAAGAUUAUUCAUUGAUGGAUCAUUAGAUUCAAUCAUAUUAUUACCAAAAUAUCUGAAACCUUCAGUUCAAGGAACUUGGAUAGAGUCCUCUGCACCACCAGAUCAUCCAGACUAUAUUUCUGACCAAUCUUCCUACAAAAUCAUUGACUAAAUUAGCAUUAACAACGUAUAUUAAUGAACCGUACGUCUCAAUAUCUAUCGGUAAAGAAAAGUAAAGGUCUUAGUUCAUGUACAUAUUUAUAAGAGAAAAAGACAAAAAUAGCACUAAAUCAAGUUUAUGUUCCCAAACUAGCACUCAAGUUCAAAAGUCACAAAAAUAGCACUUAAUAUUUUAUCAAAAGUCACAAACUUAGGGUUUAGAGUUAAAGGGUGGGGUUUAGGAUUUAGGGUUUAGGGUUUAGNNNNNNNNNNNNNNNNNNNNNNNNNNNNNNNNNNNNNNNNNNNNNNNNNNNNNNNNNNNNNNNNNNNNNNNNNNNNNNNNNNNNNNNNNNNNNNNNNNNNNNNNNNNNNNNNNNNNNNNNNNNNNNNNNNNNNNNAGAUGAUCAUCGACGUGAAGUGGAGUUUAACAUCGGGGAUAAAGUAUUCCUCAAGCUCCGACCGUAUAGACAGCAGUCGCUGGCUAGGAGAGUUAAUGAGAAGCUGUCAGCUCGUUACUAUGGACCGUUUGAGGUGGCGGCGAGAGUAGGGAAGGUCGCGCACCGCCUCCACUUACCACCCGAAGCUCGCAUUCACCCUACGUUUCACGUGUCUCAGCUGAAAAAGGCCGUGGGUGAGUCGUUGGAACCCACUACUAUACCACCUCAGUUGAACGUGGAAGGGGUAUUGGAAGUUUCACCAGAAGCCGUGUAUGCACAUCGAUUCAAUGAGAACACUGGCCACGAAGAGAUACUAGUUAAGUGGGAAGGGCUACCUGAAGCAGAUUGUACAUGGGAGUGGAAGAGUGUGAUCGAGAAGCAGUUCCUGGGGCUUGACCUUGAGGACAAGGUCAGUUUGAAUGGAGGGAGUAAUGUUAUGUAUGAGGCCAUAAGGCCACCAAUACUGUACCAGUACAGGAAGAAAAGCCCACUUAAGAAGAGACAAGAUGGGAGUAAAGAGGAUGAAGAUCACACAAAGGACUAAGGAGGAAGGGAGGAAGGAUCUAGCAACGGCCUCGACACUAGCACAUGUGAUGUUGGUGACGUGUCUAUUGCUUUUAGGAAGUUUGCUUUUCUGUAAGAGUGGUACGAAUAAUCAGAGAUGUUAUCGAGAGAGAGGAUCGAUCUUUGUGACGAGAGAGAGAAAGUACUCUUUGUAAAAACUCUAAAGUUUGUAUUUACUUGUUGGUUAAGGAAUUAUUGAAGGUUUUUUUACAAACAAGUCUUUUACAUUACUAGUCGUAACACAAACAUACCCUCUGCUUUUGUUUUCCAAUGGUUAAUUUUUUCUUUGGCAAUACUUAACAUAGCUGAAAAGAGAAAAGUUUUAUGCAUGAUGCAAGAAUUGCUCAGUUACACAUUGAAGAACAAGAACAAGGCAUAAACACUACAUGUGAAAUAUUACAAAUCCUAAAUAAUUAUAACUAGAUGAACAAGUUCUAAUGAGAUUAAUAUAAACAAGUAGAAUCAGUUACAAAUGUUGUCACAUUAUCCACGAGAUUAAGCAUGGGAAGCUUUGCCGUAUAUCAAAACUAUAACAGACAUUAUGGGCUCAAUAGCCUCAGAUGAUAAAUUUAAAAGCUUGCACAUACAUGGCAUAUUCAUUACAUCACAUGAUUCUAAGUCAGAGAAACACUUCACAACAACUAAUCCAACCGGACCAGACCUCUUUUCCGUUUUACUUCUGAACCAAAGACAAGAGACAAUACAAACAAACACGCAUCAAAUGGCCUGUUUAUGCUUCAAUAAGAGCCCUUUACUAGGCUUUCUUUUGUGAAGCUGCAGAUUUAAUGGCUGAUUUCGCAAGAGACGAAGGUUUGAGAACGCUCUUAGGGUUAAUAGCCUUUCUGAUCUUGAAAGCAGCCCAGGCUGUCCCAAAAGCAUGUCCCACUGCCUCUAGCCCUUCGUUUGUUGCCUCAGCCGCUUUACCACCAUGCCUGCAUUCAUCAAACACCAAAUAUAUAUAUAAAUUAUUUUCUCUUCAACACUACCAUCUCUCUAUAUAUAUAACACCUUAACUUACCUGUGAUCAACAAGUUCGGUUGCAACAGUGGACGAGGUUGACAUUACAUUCCUUCCAGCUACUUCAAAAGCGUCACAUACCUUAUCUAUAACAAGAAUCCACGGAUUAGAAACCUAAAGAUAGCCACAUAGAGUCAAGUGUAUCUAUAAUAAUACUUACUGAAUCCGUCAAGAGUUGCAAGGACGAUUUCUCCAGGAAGAAGGCUAAAGAACUUCUUUCCCACUUUGGUGUUUGCCACUGAACUUGUGAAGAAGCCUGAAACUUUAAUGACUCCAGAGAGAAUGCCAUUUGCCACAUUCUCUGUCAUCUUGGUCAUCUUCUUCACUCUUAACAUAAUCAAAACAAUCCAAGGUCAAUACACAUAUAUACCCAUAGUUACAUUUUGAAAUUCUAAAAUCUAAUUUCAAAGAAGAUAAAAGAAGUAGUUUUGCAUUAUCUAAGAGCAUGCUUUUGUCCAAAUAGUUUCCUAAAAUAGAAAGUCACAAACCUCUCAAGCAAACACUUAAACUAUUACCUCUUGAUUCUUUUCAAGGUGUCAGGGUGAACAUCCCUCUCCUUCUCAGCCUUACUCAACCUCCGUUUCAUGAAAUCAUUUCCCCACUUGAGCCGAUCCAUAGUCACAUCUCCACACCAUAGAAUCCCUUUGAUCAGAUGCCCGGAGCCAGAUGCAAUCAGCUUCGCCGUCUUCCCACUAUAAUCCUCAACAUUCGGAGCAAGCGUAGUCCAAUACGCAGCGCACUGCUUCUCCACAAUCUCUUUCCUCUCCCCAGUAAGUUCCACCGGAGACGUCUCCCUCGCCACCGUCACAUCCAACACCUCUUCCCCCGUUUCCUUCGCCUCUUCCGACACUUGCUGCACCGUGAAACAGCUGUAGUCCUCCAAGAUCUUCUCGAGCUCCUCCAGUAAAUGCUCUUGGCCCUUGGAAGCAAUCGUGAGUCCGUAGUUCAACAUCUCGUUCUCUUCUCCCUCGUCGUCUUCGUGGCUAGUAUCGUGUCCGAAAUCUUUGGUUGGUCGGAGGGUGAAGAAGUAGCGAGACUCAUCGACCUUGACGGAGUUCUCGUCCUUGGUCAACGGCCACUGAAUCUCGUCGGCGACACGAGCGAGAACGGUGACGACGUUUCCGUCCUGAACUAUACGGAUGAUCGUGAGAUCGCCGCAAGCGAGCUCGACGCUGUACGAUUUGUCGAUCAGGUGGAGAAUCGCGCCGGAGAUUUUCAGAAUCACCUCCUCCGUCGCUGCGGGAGGAGCUGAAACGGGGACGGGAGUCGUCUCCGGUUGCUCAGGGAAGAGAUCACGAGCGAGAUCGUCCAUGUCGAGGGAAGGAUAGAGGUUAGUAGCAGAAGAGGAGGAGGAGGAGCUAGGGUUUAGAGGAGCUUCGGGAUUCGACAUGUCGACAGUCGGGUAGAGAGAUUGAGAUUGCUUGUCGCUAGAGUUUCCGUGAGAUUCCAUUAACGCCGGGGAGGUUUUGAAAUCGGAGAAGAUAAACGAAGGAAUGAUGAAGAGUUGGUUUCUGUGAUUAUGACGAAGAUAUUUAUUGGACCAAGAAAGUGACCAAGCUAAGUAUCCGUCUGACAUGUGCCGACGUGGAAGCUACGCGUAAGUAACGCGUGUACCAUUAUAUACCGGUUCGGUUUAAAACUUACCGACAUCUUUCCCGCGUUGUUAUACGGUUAGUUGCGUCGUGCUAAUAACGCGAAGGUCACAGGUUCGAAACCUGUAUAGGCCACAUUUUCUUUUUGGUCCACCAUAAUCAAGCCUUAACCGAUUUGAUACACGCCCAUCUCUUCAAUUUGAAGCAAAGCACUUGGCAACAUGGUCUUAGUGAUACCUCCUUCUACGGCCCAAUAGUGGUAAGCUCCACUGGACCCAAUUUUAUUAUAAUCAAUCCGCUCACGAUUUUUUGGGUUUUAACUCAGAAUAAUUAUUGGACAUAUAUAUUGUAAUAUUUAUCCAUAAAAGAACCAAAAUUUAAAUUUUAUAAAAUCUCAUUAAUAUAUUUAUUUUCACUUUUUUUUUUUGAAAAAAAACGCUUUUUGAUUUUCACUAUAUUGAGUAUUGAGUCUAUUGACCCCUCCUUCUAGCGUAUUUUUAGUUGCACAACCUAUACUUAAUUAAUGUCCGAAUUUUGAAAGAAAAUGUAUAGAUUUCCUCGGUUUUCCGCAAUAUUCGAAAUAUAUAAAAAACAUCAGAUAAAAUUAUGAACUCGAGCUAGGAGCCAGUGAGUCACAAUCAAAAAUAAUAAUACUAUAAAAUAAAGUAAAUUUAAAUAAAUAAAAAAUGAGAAAUUUGUUUUUUUUUUCUUUUAAUGAUUUGGGAGAACUCCAUAUUGUUUGUGUUAAUCUUCAACCUCCAAACUUCAUAUCAUCAUUCUGGUCACAACGCUCAAGAAACGCAGUGAGAACUUUAAUGGCUUUGAUCUGACACUGCAGAGCCAAAAUGUAACUCGCCGUCUCUUCAAACAGCUCGUCGACUUCGAGCGCCGUUCCUCCGGGAACUAUUGUCUGAAGAGUCUCAAUCUUCUCCUCGACUCCUUCUUCAUCAUCAUCUUCUACGUCACUCUCGCUUACACUCGUCGUUGCAUUUGACAAUCUCUGUCUUGAUCUGCGAGUGAAACCGCCGGGGCGUGCGGUCACGGUGGUGGAAGGUGACGGAGAGGAGCGUUUGGUGUGGGAAGUAGCUACGGUUUUCUCCAUUGACGGAGGGUGAGAGAGGUUGUGUUGGAAGAAAUGGGGUAAAGAGAUGUAUAUAUAUUUAUGUGUGAUGGAAUUGAUAGAAUGGAGUUGGACCGACUAAACCGGAUACCGGUUCAAUAUUACCCGAAUUUGUCAUAAUUUGAGGUAACUGAUGGGUAUAAGUAUAUACUACUAAGUACUAACCGAUGGGUGUAAGUUGAACUUAGUACAUUGGUUUAUUUUGUUUAGAACGUUUUGACUUCUGAGAUGUUAUGUUUGGUUCGGUUACGUUUUGGUUUGGCUUUUAUGUUCCGAAAUUGGGUAUCACCGGUAUGCGAUCAUAGCUGGGUCCAGUUGUGAUUUUCCAUUUUUGUUUGUGUUUUCGAAUUAUUGAGUGUUUUUUGUUUUGCUGGUUAUGAGAGAUUUGGAUCAUGAUCGUCACGCGCUUUGUUGAGNNNNNNNNNNNNNNNNNNNNNNNCCCCGUCGACAGUGUUUGUUGGUGGCGGGAUAAUGACCGAUCCGUCAAGGUGGCCUGCGAGAUCGUAUCCAUCAAGUAGUGCGUGGACUUGGCGGCUCCACAUCAGAAAGUUUGAAGCCGUUAACUUGGUAACAUUUGUCAUGUUGAUGUUGAGAAGUUUGACAGUGUCAGACACCGUUAUUGUUUCAGCGUUAGAAGCCGGAGAAGAAGAAGACAUCAUGAAGCGUGAAGAAGAAGAAGAAUAGAGAUAAGAGUUUGUGGUUGGCGGCUUUUAAAAAAAUUCAGAUCCCUAGAUAUCAAGCUCUGAUACCAUAUAGAGAAUGUAGGCUGAAUGAAUUCAUUAUGUAACGUGAUUACAAUAUUUAUAGUGAUUAGAGGAGCUAAGCUAGGUAUUACAGAAUGACUAAUCUACCCUUCUAUACAUAUACUCUACAGUUUUACAUCUAAGUUUGCAAAUUCAAAUUAACAUGCUAUCUUUGGAUUAUCGAAAUUAGAGGACAUCCUAAUUACUUGAGUUCCAUUUUAACUUGAAAUAGUUUAUCUAUCCAAGAAAAUAUAACCACCCCGCUGUCCAUGUUUACUACAUUCUUGAAUCCCAAUGACAGAAAUUUCAUCCGCGUGGAUGUGGCCAAGUGGUAUGCGAUGUUAAAACACUCUUUCCGAGGUCUUUGACGCAAAAGCUCAGUCAUGUGAGAAGUUAGAGUUUGGGAUUUAAUCCAUGCAGUUUGCAUGGCAAUAGAUGAUCCUGGUAUAAACCGGAAAACAUUUCAAGCUCAAGUCAGAAAAUAUGUUAACCAAUUCACUCUGCAAUAUUAAGUACGUUAUUUUCGAAGCUAAACAGAUCCAUCAAUAUAGUAUAUAGAAAAUGAUGGAAAUCUUAUUAAAUCCUAUCAAAAAACUCAGAUAAAUUCAAAAAAAAAAAAACUUUUUACAAAGACCUACAUCAUAGUGUCAACUUUCAAAAAUUUUGAGGACCUCUCUCAGCAAAGAUAACAUUAUUUAAAUUUUUAAAAUAACAUAACGUUGUUUAAACUUUAGAAAUAAGCUUAUUCAUAAUAAAAAAUUUAAUGCAUCAUCAAAACAUAUAAUCGUUAAUAUUUGACCAAAUACAAAACUAUACAUUAUAUUAAGUAUUUAAGUUAUUUACUUUUUUUUUUUUGAUAACUGUAGUGUGAUCCCAAAGGCUUUAUAGGUCCAAAGACUAAUCACUAUGAGUCCUGCAGGAUCCGCGUUUUCUUACCAUUUAAGGCGCUCCGGGUAGCCAAGGGCACUACAAAAAAACGGUUGUUUAGCAUCAUUUAUUUUGCAUUUUUGCAUUAGUUAUAAAUGAACACAGGGCGGUACUCACAGUUGUGAGCCCACUGCCACUACGCCAAGACCACUUGGUUAUUUAAGUUACUUUUUAUUUAAUGGAUAUUUAUUUUAGGUAGAUAUUUGAGUAUUUAUGAUAUAUCCCAAACUAAACAAAAAUAAAAGAAAAAAAUAUUCAUAAAACUAAAAUAUGGAAUAAUAUAAAUAUACAUAUAAACAUGAUUUUGAAAAAAUAUAUUUGAUAAAAUCAUUUAAAAUUUCAUUUUUAAUUUAAAAUAUAUUUACUUCAAUUAUAUUAAAUAAUUAUUACAAUUCAGUUAUUUGGUAAAUAUGCAUAUAUCUACAUGAAGUUUUAAUAAAUUAUUUUAAACUGUUUAACAGUUUAAUUUAUUGUAAUUUUUAUUUUUCUCAAACAAAAUAUAACAUACAAAUUAUUUAACAUUUCAAAAGAUUCAAAUUAAAUACAAUUAAAAAAUAAUCUGAUUUUGCCUAUCUAGAACCUUAAACAUAUACUAGAGAUUGAUCCGCGCAUCCGUGCGGACAUUAGUUCUUAUAUUAUUAUACAUUGAUAUUUGUUUUUCAUAACUAGUGUUAUAUAUUUUAGAUGGAUCGUAAUAUAACUAAUUGUAUUCAAAAGACCUAGACUGAAUCUGGUAAUAUGAUUAUUUUUGGUACAAAUAUCCGAAACCGUUUCAGAUACAUUUGUUACUUAGAUAUUUUUAGGUUCCUAUAGAUGAGAACCGAACUCAUCCAGACCCACAAGGACUCAAAACCCAUUUAUAAAUUUAUAAUAUCAAAGAGGAGUCUAAUUUCAAAACAAAAAAUAAUGAUACCCGAAAAAAACAAUUCGUACAUAAAUGGAUAAUCUAUGCUCAUGCCUAACUGAUUUUAUUUAGUAAAAUAAUUAUAUAUAAUGAAAAAUUAAGUGACAAUAAAUGUAGUAUAUUUUUAUUAUUUUGAUUUAAAUUAUUAUUUUAUUCACAAAACAUGUUUUUCAAUUAUAUUUUUGGCUACGUAAUUUUUCACCGAUUUAAACUAAAAUAUAUAAAAAAAGUUUCAGUAAAAAAAACUAAAUCGAAUGUCUAACCAUAUGCAAAACCCAGUUAUUUUACAUUUUAUAUUUUAUAAUUGGCACAAAAUUAAUUUUUAUUAAUUAAUAAAUAAAAAUUUGCACUAUAAAUGAUGUGAUGUAUUUUUAAGGUAAUAUAAUUAAUGAAAUUGUUAAACUGAGUGAAAUAUUAAUAUACAAUUAAUGUAAUUAUGUUAAUGAAAUUAUAUUAAUGAAAUUACUAUCUAUGUUUCUAAAUGAUUUUCAUUUAUAUUGCUAUUCAUAUUUCUAAACAGUACCAAAAGAUACCACAAUUUUAAUAAUAUAGAUUAAACUCGUAUAAUAAAUGCAAUAUAAUAUACAACAAACACAUAAAAUAGUCAAAUUUUAUACAUAUAAUUGCACAUAACUAAGAUAACUAUACCUAUUAUUAUUUUUUAAAAAUACAAUCUUUUUAUUUAUAUAUAAAUUAUUUAAUAAUUAUUUUGUGAAAGUUUAUAUCCGUUUGCAAGGAACGAUCACCUAGUCAUUAAAAUUUAUUUAUCACCCAAAACAAUAUAUUUAUAUUAUAGAUACUUUUUAAAAAAACUUUUAUAAUUUUACACAGAGUAGUAUAUUAUGUUUGGUCUGCCUGUUUACAAAAUUGAGAUUAUAUUUACAAAAAUGCCAAAUGAGACGUUUUCUUUUGGGGGAAUUCUUACAUAAAACCUAUAUUAAAAUGUAGAAAAUAUCUUGGAAACUGUAAACCUGAUUAUUUCGCUUGUUACCAAAGAAAAUGAGAAUCUUUUCACCUCGAAGACAUGAUCGGAUAGCAAUAAAAAUAGUAAAAUCAUCCGACCAAAUCAGUAUGGUGGAUCAUACGUAUCUGUUGCAGACUUAUCUUGCCAUUUUUAAACAGUCGCUUUGAUCUAGAGAGAAGGCUUUCUUUAUUUGUAUAUAAACUGUGUUAUGCACUUCUCCUUCUCCACCAAACACAUUUACACACAUAGAGGAAGAAAAUGAGCAACCUUCAAACUGUGAGAUACUUUAUUUUCUUUUGUAUCACAUUAUGCUCACUUGAUUAUCACUAUUAUUUUGUUAUGGAGAUAAGCAGGUGUCGAAGCAACAGGAGCGAUGGUGUGAACUUAAAGACAUAGUGGUUCUCGUGACAGGAGCUUCCUCUGGUAUAGGAAGAGAGAUCUGUCUUGAUCUAGCCAAAGCUGGCUGCAAGAUUAUCGCAGCAGCUCGUCGUGUGAAUCGUCUCAAAUCUCUCUGCUCUGAAAUCAACACAACAGGAGUACAAUCCGCUGCCCUUGAGCUAGACGUUUCAUCAGACGCAGCCACCAUUCAGAAAGCUGUUAAAGAAGCUUGGGAAGUCUUUGGAAAGAUCGACGCGUUGGUCAACAAUGCCGGAAUCAGAGGCACUGUCAAGUCUAGUUUGGAUCUGUCAGAAAAAGAAUGGGACAAAGUCUUUAAAACCAACUUAACGGGAGCUUGGUUAGUAUCCAAAUACGUAUGCAUUUUAAUGCGUAACGCUAAAGACGGUGGUGGCUCGGUUAUAAACAUUUCAUCCAUCUCGGGGCUCCACCGCGGUGUAGUUCCUGGUGGAAUCGCGUAUGCUACUUCCAAAGGCGGUGUUGACACAAUGACAAGGGUGAUGGCUAUUGAGUUAGGUGUUUACAAUAUCAGAGUGAAUUCUAUCGCACCGGGGCUUUUGGAGUCAGAGAUGACACAAGGUCUUAUGAAGAAAAAGUGGCUAAAGAAUGUGACCGAGCGGACUAUCCCGUUAAAGGUGCAACAGACCGUGGAUCCGGGGAUUACCUCGCUGGUUCGCUAUCUAAUUCACGACUCUUCGAAAUAUGUCUCCGGCAAUAUAUACAUUCUUGAUUCCGGAGCUACAGUGUCCGGCCUGCCCAUUUUUUCUUCUCUUUGAAAUCUCAACCACAAAAUCUUCAGUUUGUGUUUCUUUUUGCUAUAAUAAGUGAAAACAUUUACACAUAAAAAGCAUAUGAAUAUCCAAAAGGUUAUGAUUAGUUUACUUGUAGUAAUAAAACUAAUGAUAUUACAUCUAAAGUUUGAAAAUUCAAUUUAACAUGCCAUCUUUGGUUAGCUGAAAUGAAUCAGAGCUCAUCGUACUUGAGUUCCACUUUAACUGGAAAUCUCUUCUCCAUCCAAGCGAUAUAACCACCAUCCAUGUUUCUUACACUCUUGAAUCCCUGUCACAUGAUCAAAAAUCCCAAUAAAUAUCAACAAACUAAGAUAAGUUCAAGGAAAAUGCAUAACGAAGAUCCUCUUUUAAAUAAUUAAAUAUAUAAUCUUUUGGCACUUACAGAAGAAACAAGAACCCUGGUAGCAUACAAAGAUCUAACUCCAGAUUUACAUCCCUACCAAAGAAUAUUUAAACAACAGAUUCUAGUCGUCAGAUCUAGUGAUUUAAGUUAAAAAAAAAGAUUUAUAUACUAUUAUAUAAUAUAACUAUACUUCCACAUGAUCAGGACAAAGACAUGUGUUAUUACCACGACGAGAUGAUCCGUUUGGUUAAAGAGAGAUGAAACAUGUUUCAAGAAAUUUGGGUUAUUUUCUUGACCUUGUGGAGUAUAGAACCAGUAGGGAACAUUAAAGACUGUCUCUGAAUUAACAUGGCCUUUCUCGAAUUCUUCAACAGUUCUGUUUUAAAAUAUCUCAAAUUACAAAAAUCUCUGAAAAAUGUAUAUCGAACAAUAGUAAAGACACUCUUAAAACUUUACCUGACAUCGAGAAAAGUGUGGCCCUGAUGAAGAAGUUUAUGGGCUUGGUUCACAUCGAUAGUAAUAUCUUCUGGUUCUGAGUUUGAUAAAGUCGUGCAAGGAAGAUGAAGAUAAACAAUGAAAAUAAAAAGAACUGAUCUUAUAAAGUGGGAGGAAACCAUUUUAUUGAACAAGAAGAUUCAUAAGUUUUAACCUGUAUAUAUUUUAGCAGUCCAAAUCUAUCCUUGUUGAAUCCGGUGCUAUCCGCCGUUGGAUUCGAGUACUCUUGUUUUCAUUUUGGCGGCAGAGGCGUGUAUAGAUGGUAUAUCCGCCGUUGGAUUUACUGCCUCUUGUAUUGUUUUCCUUUUUUGUCAGUUUUUUUCCCAACUAGACAUUUUUGUCAACAUUCAAUACUGGUCACCUUCCUUUUCAAAAAGAAAAAUUAAAAUAAACGUAGAGGCUACAUUGAAGUGGUUUAUUGCAAUAAACGUGUGCACUUAAUUGAACCAGGCCUGAUAUUCUUAAUUUAAUAUAAUUUUAAUAAUAUAGCAAAAUUUUGCUGGAUUGUGAUAGAAAAUUGCAGCAUAUGUAUUUUUACCUCACUAAAAAUUCAUGGUUUUGAUCCAUUAUAAUUUUUAUCUUCAAGAAAAUAGAUUCAAUUAAAACUUUACAAAUAAAAUUGGAAACUUUAUGUUUUUGUGGACGAUUUGGAUCGGUUGCCUCUGAGCAUUGCUUACAAAAUUGUUCGUUCUUAUAUUUUGAAUCUGAGAUACAUGUGUGAUAACAAAACUGCAUAAUCUUUGCAGUUUGCAUCUUCAAAUCUUCUCCAAUUAUAUUACAAAACAGACCAUUCAUAUGGGGUCAGUUGGUCAGAUCUAGUAUGGAUCGUACAUGGACAAAGAGAUGUCAAAGGAGCUUUUUUUACUUCAUGUACCUGCAUACGAUUUGAGUGACUCCGCUCAUGCCACCACAUUUGCACAUUUAGAUGCCGCCCCGUUAGAGAUUCUUCAAGCUUUAGCCGAUGGAACAAAACUACUUUUCAAAGACUCAUAUAGGAUUCCCCAAAAAAUCUUUGUUCAUAAACUAUUUUCACGAAAGCAAAAUAAUAUGUUGCAAAUGUUACGUAGAAUUGUUAAAAAAUUAUUAUCUAAACAAGGGCUUCAGAUUCUGAAUUUUAGAAUGUGAUAGUUGGCCUUGUAUUCCUUGUUCCAUCAACCUUUCAAAACCUUCAAAUAUACUAUACCAAACGGCAAAACCUUGUCCUAAUUUUCUUUUUCCAUAAUCCAUUCGUAGAAUUAAGUUUUUAACGGCUACAAUUAAUUUUUUUAACAAUAGCUAAUUUAUGUUACUCUUGUUCUAUUGGACAAUAUAUAUCUAUAUAUUUGGUCAAAUUCUACUGGACAAUAUAUAUGUUUUGUAGUUUACGGAGUAGACCACGGGUAUUACUGUAAUACAAUCUCAUUAUUUACUAAAAACACAGUGAUGAACAAUUCUGAAAGAAACAUAAAAACAAUGGCAUCCUUGGCUUGUGUUUUUUUCUCUUUUAGUUUAGUUUUUACUGGUAUGAGCCCCAUGCUUCGCAUGGAAAUUAUUUAAUUUUAUAUGACUAAAAUGUUAUGUAUAAAAUAACUUUGAUUUAUAAGACAGAGAUGUGUAUAUCAAGAACAAAAACUUCAUAACAUUACCUUAGAGAAUAUAUAAAAUCACUAUCUUCUUAUUAUUCGUGGUAGUUAAAAGAAUGCAAUAGAGUUGAAAAAAUAAUUUUUAAUCACUGUGUAUUAAUAUAUCAAACAUCUAAAAGAAAAUAUUUGUGUUAAUAUAUAUUUGUACCUGCUAAUAUAUAUAUAUGUGUUAAUCCUAAAAUUUAAUUAAACUUUUAUGUGGCAUUGUCAACUCUUUGUCUUUCUUGCUACAACCAUAUAUUAACCAAGUUUGAUUACUUAAUAUCUUUUUUUGGUCAAUGAUUACUUAAUAUCUGAAACAUUAAAACUAUAAAGAAAAGAGUAUCAAAGUGCUCACCAGUCACCAUCUAUACUAUUAAAAGAGAAGCAUUCUUAAAAAAUCUACUUAUUCAAGGUUGUUUGGACCUAUUAGUUAGACUAACACCACAUAAUUCAGCCUAUUUUUAAGCCAAAGUAAUAUUCCAUACUUCAACUCAUAAUUUCCUUAAUGUACAAAAAGAGAUAUUGUAACUAAAUAACAAACGGAUUAAUAUUAAUGUACAUAUUUUUGGACCCUACAUAUAAAUUAUCGAACAUAUGAUGCAUACCUUUGUAUUACAAACUUAACAAUAUUCAUUGCACUUUUUAAGUGAUAUGUUAUUCAAGUAUUUCUUGACUCUUUUUAUGAAAUGUUAUCACAAAUUUAAUAUCUGAAAUUGAAAUCUAUAUCAAUACUAAAAAUAAUUGGUUUUAUAAUAAUGUAAAUUGAUAGUUGUAACUAUGAUAUAAAUAUAUGCCAGGAAAAUUCAUUUUUAAUUUAAAAUUGAUAGCUUGUGUGUUAAUGGCAAUGUUUUGAAAACCAAACGGGACACUGAUUCAACAUUGCACCUGGUUCAAUGGUCGGACCGGUUUAAUCGGUUUAACCGCUUAAUUUUAAUUUAAUUUUAAAUUAAGCAACUAUAUAUAUGUAAGUAUAACUAUAAAUUAAUUUCGAUAUAAGUUUAUGUCAAUGUUAUAUUUUAAAACUGAUAUGAAAAAUAAAAUGAAAAAUUCAAAAAUUAAAACUAAUUUAUUUAUAUAUGUAGUAGGAAACAAUAUUAAAUUUUGAUGAAAUCUUAUUAAAAUUUGCAAUUUUUUUUUUAUUUUUUAACUUGAAUUUGCGAAAACUGGGUUUUAAUAUUGAAUUAGGUCCGAUUUAACUCAAAUUCGGUUUUUAGCACAACUCAAAACCAGUUAAAAGAGCGAGUCAGGAUCCGACUGGUUCGAUCGUACGGUCCGAUCAGAUUUUCAAAACAUUGGUUAAUACAGUUCAAUAAUUAAAAUAUAUAUUUUUAAUAAUGAAUAUCUUUACUACUAAAAACAUACAUAUCAUCUUUAAAUCUAUUUCAAACAAAUCUCACACUAUAAAAAAUAAUGAAUAAUAAAAACAUUAAAAAUCAAUAGUUAUAUUGUGAAACAAAAAAAAAUUAUACUAGAUUUAAAAUUUGUUAAAGAUUAAAAACCUCAAACCCGCGAAUCAAAAUCUAGUAGUAUAUUAAAGGAUGUUACAGUUUACAUUUUGAUGUAAAACCUAUUGUACAAUAGGAAGACAGUGUAACAAUAUAAUCUUUUUCCUGGUGAGAUAAUAGAUGUGCAUUUACCUUUUAUCAAAGCCGUUCUUCUAAUUCAACUUCUGCAUCUGUGUAUGCUUUCUGCUUUUGUUCUCUUCCUCUCUUUCUUGAACCUUGUUAACUCUAAACCGAUUCGAUGAAGUGAUGUUUUGCUAAAGCCAACGAAACUGUACAAAGAAAGAAGAUAGCUUCACUUGGAAAUAUGAAAAAUGCUUUGUUGAGAUCUGUUUCUUACAAAUCAAUUUCAGCACUGGCUCGAGACAUUCUAUACAACCCAAAUUUGAAUUAAGAUUUUGAAAUUAAAGAAUGACCAUAGAUCUUUCAUAUUAUUCUUUAGAUCGAUGAAGAGUUCCUCUAAUAUUUGUUUAUCCAAUCUGAAAUAUAUAAAAAUAUGGAAAAUCAAAAGAUAGUGGACAAAGAAAAAGAAUCCUGGGUUGUGGAUUGUUUUCAAUAAUUGUUUUACGUUUCAACUUUUUUAAGCAUUAUCUUUUUAGAGUAAUUGCAGUGUACACAGAACUAUUACAUAAUUAGUUCAUUGCACACUUAGGGCUUUUGUCUUUUAUUUUUAAAAUUGUAUUGACCAUUAUACCCCUAUUCCUGGACGGUUUCUAUCUUCGAUAUUUAUUCUCAAGAACACAUCAGAGUUCUUUUCUCUCUCCUUUCUUAGAAACCUCAACCUCUCCGACAAAACUUUCGACGUUAGAUAUAUGUUCCGGUGGCCUUCUUCUCAGUGCGUGGCCACCAGAGGCUUCCUCCUCUCACUCUCCUCUUAGAUUUUUGCUCUGCUUUGCCAUCUUUCGGUCCUUUGUCAAUAUGCGUGAUAUUGUGGGGGAGGCUCCGCCGAGGUUUGUCUUCAUCCGCUCCUGGGGAUGUAGAUCCGAGGUCGGGGGUUCUUCUCUGGAGUGGUUGUGGUGGUGGAUCGGAGUCAGCUCUUCGGCGUUCUCAUCGUGAAUCUCGAUUUUGUCUUUGAAGGUCUUGUGGUGUGAACAGAGGCGGAGGCGAGUGACGGUAAUGGGUGGGAUCUCUCCUCCUGGUCUGGUCGUGUGGUUAUCCGAAGAGUUACCCUUCUCUGUGGAGUGGAGUGAUUAGCUCUCCCUUGCCGGCGACUUAGUGUGUCGUCAUUCGACGAGGGUCUGUUUGUUACUCAGGUUUGGUGACGGUUCAUUCUCGUCGGAGCGUGCACAUAUUAUGGAGCGGCUGUGUGGUUGUUUCGUUUCUGUGUUUUGCGUUUGCAAGCAAAGUUAAGAGUUUUUGGGAUCUGUCUUCUAUGGCUGCUCCUCUUCUCUGGUUUUGCCAUACCUUUGUUAUGUCAUCCUCAUUGCAAGGGUGUGUUGCUUUAACCGUCAGUGUUAGAGCUCUCAGUUACCGCAUUGUUUGUCCGUUCUGCGUCUCUCCAGCGUGGACUCAGCGUAAAUGCACAGUUGGACCGAAUCAUGUUCUGUGCUCCAGAGCAAGGAUUCGGUUCAAGUCUCUGAUUUUGUCAAUUGGGUUUUGUAUCGAUGUGGAGACUUGCUUGAGUUAACGCCAUCCGGGUGUGUGGUGGAUUGUUUGAUCUUCCCCGUAUGUAUUGUCUCUUACAGAUUAUAUCACUUGUGGUUCUUUUACGUGAAUAUAAGUCUUUAUGUUGAUCGUAUCUCAAAAAUUCUACUCUGUUCUUUUACAGGCCAGGCUUGAAGUAGUGGGGGGAAGGCAACGUUCAACGUUCAUUUCAGGAACAGAGGGUGCAAAGAAGUGUUUGAUUGUUUUUCAUCUUAAAUAGUUUUAGGAGUGUUCUAUUGUUUUUACCACCCUCGCUCGUCACCACCAUUGCCAUCCGACACCACCACGACCACAACGGCUACCGAAUCUUUUAUCCGCUAUAGUUGUUGAAAAUAAUUUGUAAAUAGAAUUUAUAACUCUAUAGUUGUUGACAAUAAUUUUUAAAAUACGGUUUACAAACUAAAUUGCUCGAGUUUUUAUUUUUAAUACCCGGCUAACUAAAUUUAUAGUUGGCUCUGAUUUUAAAAUACGGUUAACAAACCAAAUUGCUGGGGUUUUCAUUAUUAAUAACCGGCUAACUAAGUUUAUAUUUGGCUCUUGAUUUUAAAAAUAUGGUUAACAAAUCUUUUAUCCUCUAAUAACAUAAUUAACUUGCAUUUUCAAAUCCAAGAUAACAUACCCUAUAGCCAGCCACCGUGCAUCUUCCCCUAAAAACCAGUGGGAGUACCAAAUUGCUCGGGUUCAUAAUUGAUAACAGGAUAAAUAACUUUACAUUUGGCUAUGAUUUAAAAUCUUUGAUAUGCUCAUAACAUAAGUAACUUGUAAAUUCAAACACCUUAAUAAAAUACCCUACGGCCCAGCCACCGUACCAUCUAUAUAUGAUGUACACAACCCUUAAUGUGGUACCAAACUGCCGGUUAAACUACAAUUCCAAUUAGUUUAUCUGGACACUACCACACAAAUCUUAAUUUAUUAUGUUUCCUAACGCGUGUACAAUUCGACGCCUCUCUUAACCCUUAACUCUAUAUUUUGCAGAGUCGCUCAUCGCCAUCUUUCUGAAGCCAUGGAGAUGACUCAGAGUCCCAUGUAUACAAGAAGAGCAAGGUCAUCUAUGCCAGUGUGAGAAAACGUGUCUGACUACUUUUUUUUCACACAAGUUGUCUCCGGUUACUUUCAUAAAUAGACAAAAAUAAAUGAUUAUAUUCUCUCUCUUACGUGCGCAACCUCCCCCCCCCCCCCAACUGCAGAGAAUAACUGAAUUAUAAUUGUAACAAUCAACAGUAAACUUUAAAUCUCGUACUUUUACUGUGUUGUGCAUUUACCUAAUUUCACACGAGUUCUAGGAUUUUGGACUAAUUCACUCUAUUUUUUUAACUGAUUUUUUUUUUUGAAUUUUUUUUAAACAUUUAUUAUGUCGCACGUCUUAUUCGCCAACGACUGACUUGCAGAAAAAAGAUAUCAAUGAAUGAUGGUUUACAAAAAAAAAAAAAAAAAAACAUAAAAAGUUAAAAACGUUGAUCCUACGUGGUACGGUAAGCGGGCGUAUCAGCUACUGUUUACCAUGUUAAGAGCUAUGGCGAGCCAGAUCUAUCAUUUUCUAAUUACAAAAAAAAAAAAACAUAAUGCACUUGUCCCAACUCGAACACCGAGUCAACUCGCUACCAGCACUGAUCAGUUUCCCAGUUCCCUCCUCCGUAACUGCCAAAUCUAGAAACACCGACAGUCAACGGCCGGCGCCCGCAAAGGAUCUUCCGAUUAUAAACGGCGCGUUUCUCGGGAUCAGAAAGAGUGCAAUACGCAAAUUCCGAUCAUAAACGGCGCGUUUCUCGGGAUCAGAAAGAGUGCAAUACGCCGCGUGAAUCUUCAUGAAAGCGUCAGAUGACGCGCAAUUUCGACGGUUUCCAGCCACGUCGGGGUGGCAGAUCCUGGCUAGUCGCCGGUAAGCUGAUUUGAUCACCUGGCUCGUCGAGCCGACGGGGAUUUCCAGGAUCUCGUAGAGCGACGGAGUCACCGAAGCCGAAAGUCUCUGCGGAAUCUGGCGCAGUCUCGGUGGAUCUUCGGCGCAGGUGUAGGAGGAGGCGGUGGUCACGGAAAGAGAGAUCUGGGAUGUACGGGGUGGUGGUGGCACAGCGGAGAACGGCGGAGAAGAGGAGGAGAGUAAUGGAGGAGCAAAGAAGGUUGGCGAAGAAGAGAGCAUCAUAAACGAAUAGUAUUUUUCUUUGUUUGUUUGUUCUCAGUUCAAGUUGCCGUGUGAUUGAGGGUGGGAGUUUAGAAACUAGAGAGGUUUAAUUUAGGACGUUCUUUAAUUUAUAGGCUAAGGUGAUCAAUCGUUUAAUAUUUAAUUAAUCUGAAAAAUCAUUUUUUUUUUUUUGAAAAAGAUCAAAAGAUAUUUUGAUUUUAUUAUUAUUUAUUAUUUAAUUAUUUUUAUGUUUUAAAUAUUUAAUUAAAAUUAUAAAUGAGGAUAAAAUUAUCAUUUUUUGCUUUAAUUAAACAUAUUUUCAUAACUUUCAUUUUUGAAAACUAUCUAGGAGACAAAAACUAAAAAGACUAUUUAUGAAAUUUGUCCAUAUCCAAAUAGUUACUAAAUUUCUAAAACCAAGAAACCGAAAUUAAAAUAUAAAUUAUAUUUAGUUUUGAAAUAACUAAAUAUUUUUAAAAUAUUGUUUAUAAAUCAAAUUAUUCAUAAUAACUGAAUUACCCAAUAUUUUUUCAUCAUCUAACAAAAUUUAGUCAUUUAAUUUACUGGUUUAACCAAUCGCAAAGGGUAACAAUUAGUAAUCGUAUUUAUCACUUUUUAAUAUUUUGGUAUCUUUGAUCAUAUAUCAGUUACCCAUUCACUCUGUUGAUUAGAAUGUUUUAGACUAGAACCUGUGCAUCCUAAAAAGUUUUUGUUUUUCAGACGAGACAUCAGACCAAUUUAUGUUGGGUUAAACUAAAUUAUGGAUGUGGAUCUUAUAUAUACUUUCAAAUUGGCCGAAACAGAAUUUUUACUUUGGAUUGAGGCAUAAGCUACCAUCAUAUCAAGGGUCUCUCCUACAAGGGAAGAAUCCGUGUCUGCUUUACCUUUACGAAGAUGAUUUUUUCGGAUGGAUUGUGGAGGAUAUCUGCUCCGGAAAAGGCUGGUUUAGCACUUUGGAAGGAUAUGACGGACUGUUGGGAGCAAAGAAUACAUGAGCUAUUCUUUCGCCCCUAUAGUCGGAGAUAGAGGCACCCAUUUGGGCGAUGGAAUGCAUGCGAAAUUUAAGACAGUAUCAUGUUACAUUUGCAACUGAUUAUUCUCAAUUGGUGAAGAUGUUUCUGAACCAGAGGAAUGACCAGCCUUUACAAGUUAUCUAGAAGACAUUAAGCUCAUGAAAAGAAGCUUCACUCAUUCAGAGCUCAUUCAUUUACCACGAACGCAUAAUAAGAAAGCGGAUAGUCUCGCACGUAGUGCUAAGAAGCAGCCGUCAUUCGUCAUUCAUAUAGAAUUCCCGGUUUGGUUUGAAGAGUCUAUUAAGUUGAUGACAGAAAACUAAAUUGAUACAUAUAAUCAAAGAAUAUGUAAACUCAUGAACCCGAGCGGAUGUGACCAGUUAGUAAAUUCCAAAUAGACUAUUUACUUAAAUCAGUAAUGAUUAAGAAAGUAUUGAAAAAGCUUAGUUAAACCAAUAAACAACAUGAACGACUUAACCUAAUAAAAAUGGGAUCAAAUGGUAGAAUUAAACAAGCUAACGUAGUUGAGCUAUUGGGUGAACUAGUUGAACAAGCUGCACGAGCUUGUUCAACUAGCAAUUCCAGACGAAUGAUUGGGUUCGUGAUGUUCAAGGCAGUCAGAAAGGAUUGGGUUCGUGCUGUUCGACCAGAUAUUAGCAAUAAGCUUGAGUUUUUUUUGUUUGCACAAUAAUCUUGAGGUUCGAUUAGAUACUAGCCAGAACAAGAAUGCUUCGACCUAGGUCUUAGAAAUGUUGGGAUAAUAUUAUUUUUCAUUCAACAAUUUAAUCUGAAAUCUUAUUUAUCUAAAUUAGUUAUUCUCUCUCUC